UGCCCACAUAGGUCAGUGGAUUAUCAUCGCCACGAGCAUAGAAGCUGUCUGGCAUGGAAACGAUUUCGAUACCAUUAACGAAGGCAAAAGAUGCUGGAGACGGAUGAAGGUUAAUUCAAGCUUCUGGUUGUCCCACACGGUGAUGAUGAACUCUUUGGUGAAGUAGUCAACUGGAGGUCUUAUAGCAGAAACUGUAAGAGAGGCACUAAAGUUGUUUAGUAGCUUGUAGUUGUUGGCACUAAGCGAAAAAUAGGAUUUGGAUAUGUCAAGAUUUGAGUAAGAAGCUGGAUAAAAGUAGAGACGCACAAAUUUUGGGCCAGGCAAGACUGGAAAUGUGUAAGUGAAUUAGAGUGAAAAAUACGGGCUGUCAUGUAUGGGACUUGGUCGACAGAGGGGUCUUGAGUGGAGGCUUCAAACACAGAUGAGGCUUCUGGGGGGUUAGAGGCAGCAAACUUAGACUGGGAAUCACCAUCCCAGCUGCGACCAUCUGGAGAUGACAAAUUAGAGGAUGCACCACAGUUAAGGAGUAUUAGAUCAGUGGGUCUGUAUGGCAGCAAGUAAUCUUCAGUAGCAGUAGCAUAGAGGAAGAGAUGGAGGGGAGGGAGAAGGUAGAGAAAGAUGAAGAUGGACAUUACUAUGCUAGUUCUUUGGUGGAGUAAAUUGGAGUAAGAAAAAAUAUCUAUUAAAUGCAAAGAUUUUGAUUUAAGGGAAGAUGAUCAAUGGUGUCGCUGUCUCCAUACAGUAACAUUUUUGCUCAGGUUGAGAAUAAUCCAAUAAUAUAUUUGAGGCCCGUCGGAGAAGAAAAUUCGACGAUAUGGCUAAUGGGACAUAUUGGUCAGCUUUGGAUGGCUGCUUCCCGUUGUGUGGUUCUGAAUUCCGCAAUAAAGCCGCAAUGAACAAUCUAAUUUCAACAAAGGAUCGGAGUUGAGUGGAUGUGAUCCUCCUCCAUGUGUUGUAUUCUUUCUCUAUCUCUAAAUAAAAUGAACCUCUCCCGUGAAUGUAGGCGGUUUUGCCGAACCGCGUUAAAUAUUGUGCCAGUGUGCUUGCCCUCCGUUGAGCAAAUAUCAAUACAUCACCGGUCGGAUUUCCCAACAAUUGGUAUCAGAGCUGAUGGUUUAAAGUGGUGUUUGAUUUUUGCUCAAAAAAUGAAAGUUGUCAAAAUUGUGUUUUGACCAAACCACCGUGUAGAGGAGGAAGAGACGAAGCCACUGUUGAAAAAUGUGUUGAAAUCGGACGUCGGACAUGGCUGCGCGUGCCGUCACGCAUCGGCGGGGUGGCUGGCCACGUGCGCAGCAGCGCGCCUCGUCACACGUGUCUUCUUCGCCUGGAUGGGUUGACCCGACCCGAAUACCAGACGACCAGACCCACGUGGCUGACCCGGAUAAGGAUGACAUCAGCAUGACAUAAUUAUGAUGUCAUCAUGCACAGUAGCAUGGCCCAGGAUGACAUCAACAUGAUGUAAUGGUGGCGUCAUCAUGCACAGUCAGCAUGCCAUGUCAGCACAGUGAGCCGAGCCGAAUUGGAGCUGAGCCAAGCCACGAGCCGAGGGAUAGGAUUAUGUGUAGCUGAGUCUACGUGCAAUCGGAUCUGAGAUUGAAUGUGAGCCGUUGAUCAAGCCAGAAUUGUUUUGAUCAAAGCUUAGUCGUCUGAAGUGUGAUUUGGAUGAUUCAAGACAUGUUUCCAGCUAAUUUGAACAUUCCGGAUGCAAUGGUACGGUCCGAUCGUUGAGAUAUGAGACCGAAAAUGACGGUGGUGAAUUAUUAAAGAGAGAUUGCCCGAUCAGGAGGCAUCUGAGGGUCUUGAUGGAGGUCGAUGGAGAUGAUGAAGAAGAAGGUGCACAUGUUUUCCCAAUUACAUGUGCUGAACUAUUAAAUGGGAAAAUGUAAUGCCUUGAUGGAAGGCAAAAUUGGGACACUCUGGACACCCGGUUAUGUGGACAAUUGAGGUGGAGAGUGAAAAUUGACGAAGACCAAUCUUGACGAAUCUAAGCACUGUAGUCUCGCAGAUGUUGAGAAAUCAGGUAUAAAACCUGAUACCAGAUCACUUGUAAAGGAAAGCCGCAACAAAGCUAGCAAAUGGUUGUAUAUACGGAAAGACAGUACGAUGGAUAGAUAUGGCCUAAGAAGUUCUGUCUAGGAGAUUGGGUUUUAAGGGACCGUGUGACCCCUCCAAUCUUUCCUGGGAACUUGCUUAGUGGAAGGAUUAUCCAUACGGUACUAUUUUCGUAUAUGUAACAGUUUGUAAUGAAAUUGUUGAAGACUAGCAGGAUGACGGCACAAGGGGAACAGUUGGGUUCCGUAUGAUCAAGGAUCUGAUGGAGUGGUGAUUUCUUCAAAGAAGCUAGUUUCGGUGACUGUGAUUUCUCGAGGGAAGAAUUGAUGAAGACGCUGAUAAUGGAAGAGAAAUAUAGCAAGGGGAUAAAGAUUGACACCCUAUUUUGAAUUGGACAAGUGUUGUGUCAAGAUGAGCUGCUGUCAAACAUAAGCAAGGAAUAGGGAGAAAUCUAGAGAACAGAAAUUGCACGAGAGCACACGGAGAUUGUGCAGGAGUACCCGUAGGAUCCAACAAGGUACUGUAAUGAGACAACAGGUACAAGGAGAAGAAGAGUUCCCAGAUGAAGCUAAAAGCAGAGACUGUGUAUAAUAGGAAGUCUCUUAUGCUCUUGAUGAAGACAACAGGCGAAGACCUUUCCAAUGCAUGCAAGGAUGGAAAGAUGAGUUGUUGUAGAGGCACCUAAUUGAGGGGAUGCAAACGCCUGUGAUAAAAGGCAACGGUUUAUGAAAGGCAAAGACACCAAAGAGAGUUGGUGUAGGUGGAGCUGUUAAGCGCAAUGAUGAAAGGCGUAGAAGCUCCAAACAUAGAAAUCGAGGUGGAGGAUUGGGAGGAGUAUACCGCAAGUUUCUCUUUCUAUGUAGUUAGUGGCAGUAAUCUCUCUCAAGUCCACAUGGUGGUAGAGAAUUUUGGAGCCACUUUGAAGCAUCUCAGCUGAAGGAGGAUGCGACCGCCUAUGAAAAGGCGAAGACACCUUAGAGAGAAGGUGUGGGCCAUGUAAGCCCAAGAUCAGACGCCCAUGACAACGGGCGAAGACACCUUAGAUAAGGUGUGUGGGCCAUGAUAGGAGCCCCAGAUUCAGAUCGCCCCAUGACAACGGGCGAAGACACCUAAGAUAAGGUGUGAGGGCCGUGAUAGGAGCCCCAGUUCAGACCGCCCCAUGACAACCGGCGAAGACACCUUAGAGAAGGUGUGAGGGCCAUGAGAGGAGCCCCAGUUCAGACCGCCUUAUGACAACAGGCAAAGACACCUUAAAAAAGGUGUGAGGGCCGUGAUAGGAGCCCCAUUUCAGACCGCCGCAUGACGACAAGUGGAGACACCCAAGGAGAAGGUGUGUGGGCCACGAUAUGAGCCUAGUUCAGAACGCCCCAGAGCCAAUGUGAUGGCUAGAUAUGAGUGGACAGGUGUAUAGCCAAUGAAGUGGCUAUGAUGAGUAUGGAGACAAAUGCAGGAUUGACUUCAUGGAUAUUGCCCCCAUGCUAAAGAUCAAUGAGCUAGAAGACAUUUGCCUUGGACAAUAAGUGGAUGACUUAUGGAGCAUUAAGACGCGACUGCUAUGAAGGAGUAGAGGGCAUGUGCAGGUUCCUGGAACAAGUUGACUCUUGUCAAAGUGGUGAGCUCGGUGUAGACAUUGUAAUACUCACAGUAUCAAGACAGAUAUGGAUCAACCUUUAAUGGGUUGCCCCCAUAGGUAAAGGUGGAAAGCUACCUGGACUCUUGAGACUAAGAGUGAGAGACUCAUGGAGAAGUAAGGCGUUGUUUCUAGGGUGGAACAGAGGGCAGCGCAACUCCUGGAUGAGUAGACUCUUGGAAGAGUGGUGAGCUCGUGAUCAUAUUGAGAUACUCAGAUAAUGACUGUCGCACUUGGAAAUAUCCGUUUGAGGGGGUGUUCUAAGCCUUGGUGUGAGGCUUGAUAAAUCAUUCAGGACCGAGCAUGGUUGAUACACUCGAAGGGGAAUGAUGUGUCCCAGAGACAAGCGUUAACACUCUUCAGAUGUGAUGUGGGAGACCAUCUGGUUGCAGUGAUCCUUUUGUGUGAGAAAAGGUGUGCUUUGGUGACUCUGGUGAUUGAAAGGUUUGGCGAGUACCUGUAAACUUGGCCACAGACGCUCUCGGAAUGGUAAGCUUGGAAGAGCUGCAGGAUGCAAGAUUGUGCUGAAGAAGCAAGAGGACAAUUGCCCAUAUAAAUGUCAAAGGGGGUGAUUGUUGGGAUAUUGUCAUUAUUGGGCAACAUGUGCAGCCUACCCUAUAAAGAGUAGGGUUACCAUUUGUCAAUGGUAGUUGCACCCACCAUUGAUAAAUGUAUCAACCCAUGUGCAACUAUUGUUGUUGAAGAAGAACAGCCACCAUCCUUGCCUAUAAAUAGACAGCAAGAGAGCAGAACAAUUGAGAGAGGGAUUGUGAGAAUGUAGAGAGUGUGAAGAGAGAAAGAAAGAGAAGGGCUGCCACCAGCAGCCCUGCUGCCUUAUGCAGCUACUGCCCUAUGCAACAAUGAGAGAUGGGAGUUGACUGGAUGUGAUCCUUCUCCAUGUGUUGUAUUCUUUCUCUAUCUCUAAAUAAAAUGAACCUCUCCCGUGGAUGUAGGCGAUUUUGCCGAAUCAUGUUAAAUAUUGUGUUAGUGUGCUUGCCUUCCGUUGAGCAAAGAUCAGUACAUCACCGGUCGGAUUUCCCAACAGUUAUACUCAUCGAAAACAUGAGUAAAAAAAAAAAAGAAGGGUUCAGACAGUUGCACCCACCAAAGGUUGAGAUGAAAUAAAAAGAGGCAGGAAUUGAAUUCAAAGGUAUUUUUGCUGUAAACAAUUCCAAUCCUUUGUAUGAUUUUUUAGGGAGAAUCUCACUUAUUGAAGAAAAAUAUUGCCAUCAAUUGUUUGACAACUAAGUUGGAAAAUUCUUUGGAAAUGUUUUGAGAAAAUCUUUCAAGGUGCAGGGGUUUUGAUUCAUCUCUUGAAAGGUUAAAACCUUUUGAAUUUUUAUUUUUGAAAAAACAACAUUGUUUACAUCUUGAUUAUGAGUUAUUUCAACAAAGUCAAUAUCAACCAAAAUAAACUCAUAGAAUUUGUUUUGUUUUCAACAUAUUUUCUAAAAUAACUUAUGAAAAUAAUAGCUUCUUGACUUGAAAGGGUUAAAGCUUUUUUUAGGGAAAAUUUGGAGGGUAAUUAACACAAGUGAAAGAACAAGCAAUGGGACAAUAGCGAGAAAAAGAAAAUUAAUAGUUGAAAUAGAGUAGAGCACAAGAAUUCUAAUUUAUAGUUUUAUUGAUGAAGAGAAAAAUUCACUAUUUCUUUUGCCUCUUUAAGAUGUUUUCAACUUUUUAAAUAAUCUAAAAAAUCAAACUAAUCAAACAAGAAAACCCUAAAAUAAAGAUAAAAAAUAUUAAAAUUCCUAAACAAACUUAGAGAAAUAAAAUUACUAUUCUCAAUAUUUAAUUUCCUAAACUAAGUAGAAAAAAUAAAAUCACCGAAAAUAUUUUCCUAAACUACAUAGAAAAUAAUAAUAACUAAGAAAUUUUAAUUUCAUAAAAACCCUUGGCAUCAACAAUAAUGUUGUAAAAGGUGUAUUAAUUUUGGGAUUGAACAAACUAGGGAUUUUGGAGAGAUUAAGAAUAAUUUAUAGGUGAGGUGUUUGGACUAGAUCAUGCUGAUGAAAGGAUUCAAAAUUGAUUAUUUAAGAUACUAGCCUGAAGAAGGUCAAACCCUCCUUGAAAUAAAUAUCUUGAACGCUUGAUGUUGUGGCUUGAAUUGGUCUUGAUGGUGUAAGAGCAUAUGAUUAUUUUGACUUAUUUUGAGCCUAGUAAAGACUCUUUGGAUAAAAGACUCUUUGGAUAAAAGACUCUUUGGAUAAAAGACUCUUUUACUUCUUUCAUUAAUUCAAUCUCGAAAUCAUAUUUUAAUAGAUUAUCUUGUUACCUGGCAAAAAUUUGUUUUGACACAAUAUUUUGAAUAUUUUUUUCAACAACUUAUUUUACAUAUUGACAAUUUAUUUGUAAAAGAAAUUUCUGGAAAAUAAAUCAUCUUGAAAAUAUUAGAUGUAUAAAAUAAUUAAUAAAAUUUUAUUUUUGAUAGUUGAAUAAUUUUCUUGAGGAUCCAACCAAAUACCUAAAUGAUAUUGCAAUAUAUGUUAUUGACUUUGAAAAUUUUGUUUGAGAAUACCACUAUAACUAAUAUCAAAGGCAUCGGUUUCAACUAUAAAAAAGGCCUCUAGAUCAUAAAGUCUUGAACAUGAAAACUCUUGACUUGACUUUUAAGAGUAUUCACAAUUUUGAUCAUUUGAUGAUUGAUUUUAGACAGGAGGGUUUUUCUUAAGUCUUUUGUACAAAGGUUGACAUAUAGUUCUAUGAUUUGGAAAAAUAUCUAAAACAUAAUCGAGGCAUCCCAUAAACUUUUAAAGCUAGGUUUUACCCUUGAUCUUAUUUAUGAAUUUAAUGGUAAAUUUUAUUAUAGUGACAAGGGUUAUUGAUAAAUUAUAAUUUUUAAGGUUGAGAAAACUAAUCUAUUUUGUUUGAUAAUAUUAAGAAACAUUUGUAAGUUGUUCAAAUGUUUGGUUAUUAGUUUUAAAAAUAAAAGAACAUCAUCUAUGUAUAUAAUCAUAAUUUUGAAUAUAGAUUAAAGAUGUCAUUCAUGAUGCUCUGAAGUUUUGAAGGAGUAAUUUUUAGUUCAAAAGACAUUAUAUCUCAUUUGUAAUGACCAAAUAAAAUAAUGAAUGUUGUUUUAUAAUGAUUUUUUUAAUCAAUUUAGACUUGUUAGAAUCUUGAUUUCAUAUCAAUUUUUGAAUAUAUUGAAGAAUUUUAAAGUCUUCUGAUAAGAUCUCUCUUAUUGUGUAUUGGAUAUCUAAUAUAUUGGAGCACUUUGUUGAGAGGCUUGUGAUUUAUGACAUGUCUUAGUGCAUGAUUAGUACUUAAAAGUGUAUUUUAUCAAUGUUUUAUAUUAUCAUUUUGUACUUGAAGUAUCAAUAACUCCUUAACUAGAGCAUGUUUUAUAAUAACAAGUCUGAUAAUAUAAGAUAACUUUAAUUUAUGGUAAAUGCUCAUUUUAAAUACAGACAUAUCUCACAAUCCAAAGGAUUGAUUGCUGUGAUUAACUAUUGAAAGUGAAAAGACAAAGAAAAGGCUAAGCUUAGAAAGGAGAUGCAGAUUCAAUUCAAAUUGGAACACUGUUAAGUUAUUGGGUCAUAUCUGGAGCUACAGUUCUUGGAUUUCAGUUUGGUUUAUAUGGCUAGAAAGAUAAGAAAUAGGCUUACAAUGUUCAUGAAUAGUGAAAGACCCAAAUCUUCCGUUUUCAAAUUCAAAGUUUGGCCACAAAAGAGAAGUUAGAAUCUGUCCUACAAUCCAGCCCAAACACUGCUCAUACUUUUACCCAUAGCUGGAGUUUUAAAAGGAAAAAUGAUGUCAAAUUUGGUGGGUGGAAGGAUAAGACAAUUUUCAAAAACUUUCAUGCAGACGACCUGCUCCAAUUAUGAUGUUAGAAAUGACAUUUCAUCCAGACAAGAGCUUGAGGGAUGUCCACUACGUCCACCAGAAGCACUACUCAGUAUUUUAGCCAUAUCUCAAUCUCUAGUGAUCCAAAUGCUCUAAAAUUUUAUGGAUGGAAAGAGGAGAUGAUUGCAGACAACUUUUAUGAAGAACACUUUGCCAAAUGUUGAUUGAAUCAAUGUCAUUUCAUCCAGCCAACAUGCUUAAGUGUUGUUGUCCACCAAGUCCACUAAAUCAAUAGUUGGCCACUACAUCAAUAAUCAAUUACCAAAUGAAUAGUUCUGAAUUUUAGCCUAUAAAAGGAGACAAUUGCAAUUCAUUUAGGCAUCUUGGUUUUUAGAUCAAGAUCAUGUUCUUGCUCUCUCUUUAUAUUUUUGUAAUGCUUAAGUUUUGCUUUCAUUAAUCUCUUGUUUAUGCUUUUCAUUUUCUUUACUAUACUUAGUUAACUUAUAUCAUGUUUAUGUUCAUAUAUUGUUUAUUUAUGUUUUUCCUUUUCAUAAUGUCGAGCUAAGUUAAUUAUGUCAAGGUGAAAAGGUUUCACUAAUGGUGUUAGAAUAUGUAUAAUAUAAACUCAAUAUGGACUUCAAUGUUUAUAUCCAAGAAAGUUUGUUAUUAAUAUGUCAUAUCUUUUUAUCUUAUUAAUUCUUAAUACCUUGCUUGUUAAAUGGUUAAUCUAGAUUUGUGUUGUAUAACACUUGGUAAAUCAAAUGCUUGAUCCUUCAUAGUCUUCGGUCAACAUCAUUGUUAUGAGAUUAGCAUCAUGAAUUCCUGAUAAUAUUUAAAAGUAUGGUGUUACUAAAAUAAGAUAAUUAAUAUGAUCAUGUUAAAAAUUUAUAAUUAACUUUUACGGAUAAAUCAUCCUAUUGGAACCUCCUUUGUGUGUGGUUUCCAAUUGAGUAAUACAAAGAGUUUAUACUAUACUUAUUUCUAAUACCAUUAGUGGACCCUCUAACCUUGACAUUUGUUUGUAUUAUUGUUUAAUCCUCACAUUAAUCUUAUAUCUCAAAGAUCUCUUUAUAUAUAUAUAUAUAUAUAUAGUUAACUUUCCUGUGGAUCGACCCCGGUCUUGCUGAGUUAUUUAUAACUUUGACACUCCUUCACUUGAGAGAAGACAUCAAUCUUUUGGUCAUGUCAGUGCACUUCUUUCUAUUUCAGCUUGAUUCCAGACAUAAAAAGGUGGCACAUAACCAUGAUGAUUUACUAGGGCUUAUAAGACACUUUUUGAUUAAUUUAAGGUAAUUUCCAAUUAUCAUUGUACGUGACUUUAUCUCAUUAUCAAAGUUUAGGAACUUAAAUGUUUGAAUUUUGAGAGUUAGCUUUAAUAAGGAGAGUUUAAUUUAUAGAUGAAUUUUUGAGAGCUUUUGGAGCUAUGUUUGUAUCCAUGAUUUUGUAAUAUAUUCUAUAGAUGAUGACUAUAUUCAUGGAAUCUUGAAGCAUAUCAGUACAAGUCUUAACAAGUCUCAAUAUUUAGAGCUAAAGUUUUCACUGUAAGGACCAAAUGAAAUAAUGAAUGUUGUUUUAUAAUGAUUUUUUUUUUAUCAAUUUAAACUUGUUAGAAUCUUGAUUUCAUAUCAAUUUUUGAAUAUAUUGAAGUAUUUUAAAGUCUUCUGAUAAGAUCUCUAUUAUUAUGUAAUGGAUAUCUAAUAUAUUGGAGCACUUUGUUGAGAGGCUUGUGAUUUAUGACAUGUCUUAGUGCAUGAUUAGUACUUAAAAGUGUAUUUUAUCAAUGUUUUAUAUUAUCAUUUUGCACUUGAAGUAUCAAUAACUCCUUAACUAGAGCAUGUUUUAUAAUAACAAGUCUGAUAAUAUAAGAUAGCUUUAAUUUAUGGUAAAUGUUCAUUUUAAAUGCAGGCAUAUCUCACAAUUCAAAGGAUUGAUUGUUGUGAUUAACUAUUGAAACUGAAAGGACAAAGAAAAGGCUAAGCUUAGAAAGGAGAUGCGGAUUCAAUUCAAAUUGGAACACUGUUAAGUUAUUGGGUCAUAUGUGGAGCUAUAGUUCUUGGAUUUCAGUUUGGUUUAUAUGGCUAGAAAGAUAAGAAAUAGGCCUACAAUGUUCAUGAAUAGUGAAAGACCCAAAUCUUCCGUUUUCAAAUUCAAAGUUUGGCCAAAAAGAGAAGUCAAAAUCUGUCCUACAAUCCAGCCCAAACACUGCUCAUACUUUUACCCAUAGCUGGAGUUUUAAAAGGAAAAAUGAUGUCAAAUUUGGUGGGUGGAAGGAUAAGACAAUUUCCAACAACUUUCAUGAAGACGACCUGCUCCAAUUAUGAUGUUAAAAAUGACAUUUCAUCCAGACAAGAGCUUGAGGGUUGUCCACUACGUCCACUAGAAGCAUUACUCAGUAUUUUAGCCAUAUCUUUUUAUGGGUGGAAAGAGGAGAUGAUUGCAGACAACUUUUAUGAAGAACACUUUGCCAAAUACUGAUUGAAUUAAUGUCAUUUCAUCCAGCCAAAAUGCUUAAGUGUUGUUGUCCACCAAGUCCACUAAAUCAAUAGUUGGCCACUACAUCAAUAAUCAAUUACCAAAUGAAUAGUUCCAAAUUUUAGCUUAUAAAAGGAGGCAAUUGCCAUUCAUUUAGGCAUCUUGGUUCUUAGAUCAAUAUCAUAUUCUUGCUCUCUCUUUAUAUUUUUGUAAUGCUUAAGUUUUGCUUUCAUUAAUCUUUUGUUUAUGCUUUUCAUUUUCUUUACUAUACUUAGUUAACUUAUAUCAUGUUUAUGUUCAUAUAUUGUUUAUUUAUAUUUUUCUUUUUCAUAAUGUCGAGCUAAGUUAAUUAUAUCAAGGUGAAAAAAUUUCACUAAUGGUGUUAGAAUAUGUAUAAUAUAAACUCAAUAUGGACUUCAAUGUUUCUAUCCAAUAAAGUUUGUUAUUAAUAUGUCUUAUCUUUUUAUCUUAUUAAUUCUUAAUACCUUGCUUGUUAAAUGGUUAAUCUAGAUUUGUGUUGUAUAACACUUGAUAAAUCAAAUGCUUGAUCCUUUAUAGUCUUCAGUUAACAUCAUUGUUAUGAGAGGAACUUGAUUUGUUGUUAACAUAAGUUAGCAUUAUGAAUUCCUGAUAAUAUUUAAAAAUAUGGUGUUACUAAAAUAAGAUAAUUAAUAUGAUCAUGUUAAAAAUUUAUAAUUAACUUUUAAGGAUAAAUCAUCCUAUUGGAACCUCUUUUGUGUGUGGUUCCCAAUUGAAUAAUAAAAAGAGUUUAUACUAUACUUAUUUCUAAUACCAUUAGUGGACCCUCUAACCUUGACAUCUGUUUGUAUUAUUAUUUAAUCCUCACAUUAAUCUCAUAUCUCAAAGAUCUCUUUUAUAUAUAUAUAUAGUUAAUCUUCUUGUGGAUCGACCCCGGUCUUGCCGAGUUAUUUAUUACUUUGAACAAUCUUUUGGUCAUGUCAGUGCACUUCUUUCUAUUUCAGCUUGAUUCCAGACAUAAAAAGGUGGCACACAACUGUCGCACUCGACAUCGCGGCGGCCUUAAAAAUUAAUUCUCGAUUAUGGAAAAAGAACAGAUUUCUGACAUCUUAUUCUUUAAUGGGGAAUGAUCUUGUUUAAGGAGUCGCCACCUAGUAUUAUGGUCACUAGGAACCCUAACUGGUCAACAGAGAUUCUAUGGUUCGGGACUGGUUACAUAAAAGGGAAGAUAUUAUCACCCCUUAAACGUCAUGCCUAAGGCAGGCUGCAUUGCUGGUUUCGUCUUAAAUUGCUAAAUGUUUAUUAAUUUAUGUUAUGAAAAUUUUCUUAUAAUAUUCCUGACUCUGGCGCCAGUGAAUAUUUAACUACGAAUAUUUCCAACUCUGGCGUUGGUAAAUAUUACGUAGCUAUAAAAAUAAAUUUAAAUCAAUAUUUUUUUUAUUCCUGACUCUGGCGCCAGUGAAUAAAUAAAUAAUAAUACAUUUAUUUUUUUUGAAUGCACAUAUUUCUUUUUUUUUUCUAGCUAAAUAAAAUUGAAUAAACAAAUAAAAAUAAUAUAAAUUUAAACCGGUAUUUUUAUUCCUGACUCUGGCGCCAGUGAAUAAAUAAAUAAUAAUACAUUUAUUUUUUUGAAUGCACAUAUUUCUUAUGUUUUUUCUAGCUAAAUAAAAUUGAAUAAAAAAAUAAAAAUAAUAUAAAUUUAAACCGGUAUUUUUAUUCCUGACUCUGACGUUAGUGAAUAAACUAAUAAAUUUACAUUAUUUUUAUUCUCGCAUACACAUUUUUUUUUUCUGUAUUUUUUUUAUCAUUUUUUAUUUUUUUAUUUAUAUAUAUUUUUGGGCUGGGCCCAGCCCAUCAUAUGUUUUUGGGCUGGGCCCAGCUCAGCCCCAGUGACCCGGCUGGGCAAUAAAAAAAAUAAAGGCACGCGUGACUUGUUCACGCGUGCCCGAACACUGGUGAAGGUAAUUAAAUUACCUUCACACAGUGUUCUUGUAACAUUGAAUUGCUUUUUUUGAAUGAAGAUGCAAAGGGACGAAGUCAUACCUGCUUCUGGAGACGAUGAAGAAGGCUGCGAUGCUGGUGGCUGCUGCUUUCGUUCGACUGCUUUCUCUUCUCUCCCCGUUGUGCUCACUGUCUUCCUUUUUCUUUUCUUUUUUUGUUUCCCUGAUAUGUUGGAGGGGAUGAGACGAAGCUGCGGGUGAUUAGUGCACUGUGUUCUUUUUUGUCUGUGUCUCCUUGGUUUCCCAGUCCAGUGCGCUUCCCUCUGUUCGUUCUCCCUGUUUUGUUAUCUGCCUCUCUAUUUUUUUUGUCUCCGAUUCUCGGCCCCUGUUCCCUCUGGUUUCGGUCUCUGCUUCGUCCUCCUGUGGUGUUUCUUUUCUUUGAGAUCGUAUGAUUUUUUUCUGGUUUCUCCUGUUUCUUUUUUUUUUUUCUGGGUUUUGCUCUGUUUUUGCUUGCGUUUUUGGGUUUCUCUUUCGUUUUUAUGCUGGGUUGAUUUCUGCCUUCGUUCCUUGUUCUUAACUUUGCUUUUUCUGGGUUUUCUCCUCUGCCUCUGGUUUGUGUUUUUUGCUUCCUUUUAUAGAGACAACCGAUUGACCCCCCCCUAACCAUCUUCAAGAUUACAGGCGAGAGACGUGGUCCACGAUUUGGAUCGAAACUGUUGCAGAUCUUCAGCCUAUGGAAUCGGGAUGGAGAAGAUGACCAUGGCUGCUCCACCAGCAACGGCAGCGUUUUGGCAGCAAGAGAUAUUUUCAAUUUGACCCCUGAACUUUGGAAAUUCUGCAAUUGAACCCCUAAGCAAAUAAAAAUUUCUUUUAAUUUUGCCCUUUUGGAUAAAUUUCAAUUAAAUCCCUAAAUUGGUGCACUGUUUACAAAACAGUCCUUAAUUCCUGGAUUAUUCAAUUUGAUCCUUAAUUAAUUCUUUCAAUUUUGCCUUUUUUGGAUAAAUUUUAAUUAAGUCCCUGAAUUUAUUUAAUUAAUUAAAUCAAAGUUUAAUUAAGUCCACAAACUUAUUAAUUCUUUUAAUUUCAUUCAUUAAACUAAUCUAAAUUUUAAGUAAAUUUCCAAACUUAUUAAUUCUUCAAUUUUUGACUAAUUUAUUCUCAAAUCUGAUAAUUUUAUCCUUAAACUUCAAAAUUUAUUGUCUUAACUUCAUUGUCAACUAUAUUUAAUUUUUAUUAUUUGUUUAAAAAUUAUGUUAUGACAAUAACCAUGAUGAUUUACUAGGACCUAUAAGACACUUUUUGAUUAAUUUGAAGUAAUUUCCAAUUAUCAUUGUACGUGACUUUAUCUCAUUAUCAAAGUUUAGGAACUUGAAUGUUUGAAUUUUGAGAGUUAGCUUUAAUAAGGAGAGUUUAAUUUAUAGAUGAAUUUUUGAGAGCUCUAUGUUUGUAUCCAUGAUUUUGUAAUAUAUUCUAUAGAUGAUGACUAUAUUUAUGGAAUCUUGAAGCAUAUCAAUAGGAGUCUUAACAAGUCUCAAUAUUUAGAGCUAAAGUUUUCACUAUAAUAUCUAGGUUGAAUAAUGAGAUAGUGAAAUUUGGAUAACAAUUCAAGUAUGUAGAACCAUUAGCAAGAUUUGAUUGAAAGAUUGUAAGGAGUGAGUUUGAAGAGGUCAUAAAUUUAUGGUCUCUUGAAAACAUGAGUAUGGGAGAGUCUAAUCCGAGAUACUACAAUAUAAAUUAGACGGUGAUCAUUUUUAGUUUGGUUUGUUUUUAAAAAUCAAAACCGGUUCAAACUUUGAAAUUUUUAUAUAUGUUCGUUCUAUGUAUAUUUGUUUUCAAGCUUUGAAAUUUUUAUAGCUCAAUUAUUAUAAUUUUUUUAAAUUUUUUUAUGUGGGAAAAGAGUAUCAAAAUUGUGGGAAAUAUAUAUUAGAAUAUUUCAUGGACUGCACUGCUCUAUGAUUGUGCAUUUAUAGCCCAAUUAUUAUUAUUUUUUCUUUUUCCUGUUGAUUGCAUUUUGGAAUCCAUUUGAUUAGACAUAAUUUGAACUGGAAGAAUGAAUUGGGUUCACCUUCAUUUGUUCUGUUUUAAUGUGACUGAGAGCCUUAUUUUUUAAAAUGUAUUGUCACUCAUUUAGAUACUGGCUAAGUAGAGUUUGCAGUCAGAUUAACAUACAGCAUGCAUUCAUUCCAUUAAGCCCUAAUGGAGUGAAUGAAUAAAAUGACUUCUAUUAAAUGUUCCUCUACUACUUGGAUGCUGAACUGGAUAUUGGAGGUUCCCACAUUGCCCAUUGUUGGUAAUUUAGCACUCUGAAACAGAAGCUAGUCAAUAGGCGUCUAUAAGUUGUACAGAGAUUUUACAAUAGAAACUAUUCAAGUAAGAUUUUGGUGCAAUCAGUGUUCUAUAUGCACGAACAAAUUUGGGGCUUCACUGUACUACCUCAGAUACUCUCAAAAAAUGCUUCUUGGAAUUCGGAAGUUUAGACGAUCAUCGGUUGAAAUGAUGUUACCGUUUCUCUUUCUGAACGUUAUUUCCAGGUUGGAAAUUCAAGUAAUUAGUUCAAAUCCUAGAAGAUGAGUGGUGGCUUAGAAUGCUGUGAAAAAAUCGUUCCCUUAUUCAUUUUUCAAAAUAGAAAAGACAUAACUUUUUGCUUGAACUUCUAGAAUAUAAAAAAAUCUUACUUUUAUAUCUAGACACUUUCCAUCUAUGAUCUUUAAAUCUGAAGACAUAUCAUCGAUCUGGUUUUAAGAAAGUGCUAUUAACAUACCAAACUUUAUUAGAUUGUUGUUGUGCACUUAGGAAGAAAUAAAAUACUUGUCCUCCUUUAUUGUUUUCAAUAGCAUGAUCAGCUUCAUAGUUUUCUACGUUGUCUUUUUUACUAGAAGUACCUUCGUGAAUGUUGGGAAUUUCUGUCUUUUGCAUCUAUACCAGCACUCUUUUACUUGGUGUCCACCUCAUUUUCAAGUUCAUAAGUAGGAGGAAUGAAUGUAAAAAUAUAGCCAUUUUUUUUUCUGGUUUUUUGCUGGGAUUUUUAUUUAAAAUUUGACACAAGUGUUUAUAUAUAAACAUUUUGAUUUUUUUGUUUCCUAAUCGACGAGGAAUUCCACUCACAAGUAAUAUCUGUACAUUUUUUCUCAUGUUUGGUUAAGGCUAGGAAAGUGAAACAAAAAUCAUGUUAUGCUGUAUAAAAAGGUAAUGUAAGUGACUGGUUUCACCAUCACCGGUAAAGUGUCUGUAAUGACUGGUAUGGCCUGUGGGCUACAUUAUGCUUAGAUCCGUUAAAAUCAUGUAUGUAAUGACUGGCUAUGAAUGAGGUUUUUGUAAUUUUUAAAAAAUAAUAAUAAAUUCUGUGAUGUCCAAAGUACACUUAUUAUGGGCUUGAGGAAGUAUUAAUUUAUAUAGUUAACAUCUGGCCUUCCUCAUGUUUUUGCUUAUUUAUUGAAGUCACAAAGUUCUUUGUUCAUCUAUGGUGACACCUGUGUAGUUUAAAGUAAGGGCCUAUCAGAGUACACAGUUGUUAUAGCAUAAUUUUGAGAUACUUUCUUAGGGAUCGAUUGAGAUUUUUAUUGGCUGAGAACUCCCUAUAAGGUACUUGGAUGGUCAGCCAACAAUUUAGUGAUAUUUGACCGAGGCCUCUCCUGUUUUUGAAACUUCAAUGGUAAUGACCAUAGUUCAUUUUUCAACGCUUUGAUUAUAUAAAUUUUUUCCGGCUAGUCUUAUAGAGGACCUACUAUCUACUAUCUGACCACAUGUCAGCUUGACUCUGUUUGUUGCUGGUAUUAUUAUUUUGCUUGUUGAUUGCAUUUGUUUUUCUAUGCAAGAUGUUUUUCAAGCAAUUGCUAUCUAUUUGUAUGUCUGAAAUAUGCUAAGUUUGAGAAUUCCUUUCUUUUCUCCAUUCAGAGCGGUUGUGUGCAAAGGAUGAAUAGAUGUGAACCUGCUAUUGAUCAAUGGUAGAGAUUCGGUUCUGAAGGUGGCUUGAUCAAGUUAUCUUUGGAGUUGGCAUUUUUACACAGGCAGAUGAAAUUUUUGUUGUAUGCCACUGAGGAGCGAACCUCCUAUUGAAUCUGGAUUAGUUACAGAAUUUUAAAGACUUUUUAAUCCGCCUGAGAUUCUAAGCACCGAUUCUUUUACUCUCCCUAGGAACGCAAGGUUAGGAUAAAUGAGUCAGUUAGAUGCUCCACUGGUAUAUCCAUUUUUCAUUUUGCAUAGCUAGUGUAUGCUUGCAGCAAAAUAUUUUAUCCGUUGCAAUUAUAUUGUGAUUUUUCCAUUUUGAACUCGAGAAAUUUUAGUGUAGUAUCUGGAAGACCACAGAGUUACGUGCUUCGGCAGAAACAGUUGUAUACCUGAAUGAAAUCUCUUUUCAAUAAUAAGGUUUGAUUACUCUUUGGAACUCAUUUCCAGUGCAUGGUUCUCUAGUUACAUGCAAAAGUUGCAGGUUGUUUAAAAAUGGUGGUUAUUUUGGUUUUGGUGAUUUAAGCACUCAUUACUGCAAUAUCAGCAAUGAGAAAAAGCAACUACUGAAAAUUGCUCUUAAUGGUGAAAGCAUUAUGCAUCAGGCUUCCUCGGAGUGAAGGCUAGCCAUAGAUGCUUUUGUUUACUGAAGGUGUUAUUUGCAGCAGUUGCAUCUGCCUGCAUAACUGUUACUGGCUUCCAGCUUGGAUAAUUAGAUGGUGAUGUUGGAUUCUGUUGCAGCAAAACAGUUCUUGUGCUGGGAUUCUGAUGAAUCGCGGUGUGAUUUUUGUACUUAAUGUCAGAAGGUAAUGCAUAUCAUCCAUAUUGAGUUAUUCAUCUUCUUUAGGGAGCAAUGAACAUAAGUGGAUAAUGAGAUUUGGGAUUCAUGCUUGGAAAUGUUCUCACGUUUUGGGUUCGAAGGAUUGAAACAAUCUGCACAUUUCUUCUUUCUCUUGGUUCUUUGAAGUGAUAAACUAACUGUAAUAUUAAAUGUGUGAAAAUGAUUGCGGUUCAAAGUGCUUUUGGUUUAAAAAUACAUUAAAAUAAUAUAUUUUUUUAAAAAAAUAUUUUUGAUAUCAGGAUAUCAAAACGAUUUGAAAAUAUAAAAAAAAUAAUUUUAAGCAAUUUUUGUUUCUUUCAAAUUUUGGUGGAACGUGGUUUGAACCGCAUUUCUAAAUGGGGUCUAAGUAUAAAACUAAAAGGUAUGAGUUUUUCACCAUGCAUGAUCUUACUAUUCAUUUUCUCAUGUAUUACUGUCAAUGAACUGUAAAAACUUUUUGUUUUUUCAAUUUGGUUCUUAAACUUCAUUUUGAGCGAUUUAGUCCUCAUUAAAGGCCAAUUGAUUUUGAUUUCUUAUGAAAAAAAUAAGAUUGAAAGAAGAGAGAUCUAAAUGAAAAAGGCAUCAAACAUGAUGACAUGCUUUAAGUUUUGAAAAUGAUGCACUUUGGUCCUCAAAUUUAAAAAAACACAGAUUAUAUAAUUUUGAUACCUUAAUAUUUUUCAAUUUAAGUUUGGUAUGAAAGUUUAUUUUUGUUAUUUUUUUAGUCCAAGGUUAAGAGUGGAGAGAGAAGUCGCUGGAUUCCAACGGUAGAGAGAGAAUCAUGUCGUUGGCAUUGAUUUAGACUAUUAAAACGGAUGAUAUUUGUGUCAAAUAACUUUUUUGAAUUGAGAGAAAUGCGUUGAAAAAACCUGCAUAUAUAAUGUUUUUAUAGAAAAUAAAAAUAUUUGACCUGUAAAGGAGCACAAGUCAUAUAACUACUAGUAGUACUAAAUUGAAGUGAUAAAAAAUAAUAUAAAGCACAAGUAAAUUGCAUAGAUAAGUCAUCAAUGACACAAACCCCUCCAUAUAUAGAUAAUUGAGCAUCGAUUCUUAAGUUUAGGGAGACACAUGGUGGCCAUGUAAGUCUAUACUGGAUCCAUGCGCUUGCAAGUAAUGAUGGAUUCUCAUGAGUCCUAGAAUUCAACAUGCUUAAGAAUAUAACGGACGUGUUGGAUAAUUUGUUGAUUUCUUAGUUCAAGUAAUCUGAUCCAUUCUUCAUAGUUAAUGUAUCUAGUGACUUGAUAUGAAAAGCCUAAAGGGUUGGUAACUAGUAGCAGGUGAUGUCUGGCAAGCCAGGUGACUGGUAGUUGGUACCUAUAAAAGGUCCUCUUUGAUGGAUUUGGAGAUUCUUCGAUAGUAAAGUUAGUAACUUUAUAGAGAGAGAAGAAGCAAUAAUAUUUUAGAGAGAGAUACUCUGAAAAUAUAUACAUAGUAGAGAAUGAAGAUAUUGUGAACCUUUGACUUGAAGGAUUUAUGGUGUAUUUAUAGCUCAUGAAUCUUAUCCUUUUUGUGGAGAGGAGGGACUGAAGUGUAAUUUCAAUAUUAUAAUAUUUUGAGUUGUAUUCUACUUAAAAUAAUACGUAUUUGAUCAAUAUAAAAUAUUGAGAGACUUGUAUGGGGUCCAGAAAAAAUUCUCUAACGAAUGUUGGGCUUGGGCAGGGUGCACGAGCCUAUUGGAGGUGAAAGUGGGUUCAAGAGCACUACUUAGACCCAAACAUACUGGGCUUGGUAUGACAACUUGUGCCCAUGAGGGCUAUAAGGUGCGCGCCCAUGAGGGCUAUGGGGUGUCUGCCCAGCAUCACCUAGGCGUACGCCUUACAUUGGUGUACACCUAUUGGGGUGCAUUAGGUGUACAUGCAUGUACUGUGCAGACGCCUAAUACAUUGUAUAGUGCCCAUGCACUUGGCGUCCAUAUGCCUAUGCAGGGAGCAUGCUCUUGGUGUGUGAUAGCUCGAGCUCGUGUUUCUUGGAUGUUUUUUGAGCUUUUUUUUUUACGAUUUUUUUUGGAUCAAUUUUGGAGAAUUUUUUAGAUUUAUUUUAUUUGUAUCCAUCAGAUUCUAUUAUCAAUUUAAAAAUUUUGAAGUGAUAGAUUAAGAAUAUAUAUUGUAUAUAAGUUCCUCAUUUUCCAUUCCUAACCCAAUAACACAUCUUGAAACACUAAACUGGCGUGAACCUUAAAAUAGAAAACUAAAUUUUAUUGAAAGUUUACCCCUUUCACAAUAUCUGACAAAGCAAUGGAUAGCUUCUACAAAGAGGAUUUUUUAGGAAAAUUUAUUUAUUUUCUUAUUAUUUUUACUAUUUUUUCUAUUUAGUGUAAGAAGUUAAAUUUUAUGUUAAUAUUUUUAUUUUUUCUAGUUUAUUUAGAAUUUUUAUUACUUUUGUUUUUUGUAUUUUUAGGUUUUCUAGUUUGUUUAGGUUAGUUUUUAGGUUUAUCUAAGAAGUUGUAAACCUCUUAGUGAAAAAGGCUAUAAGAACAUAAAAUAUUCAGUAAUAAAAUUAUAAAUUAGGAUUUUGCGAGAUAGUUUUAUUUGGCUUCAAUUAUGUAUUUAUAGCUUAUUGUUUUUUUUUUUGUUUCUAGUUAGUUGAUAUUAAUUACAGUCCAACGAUACCAAUUGUUAUUUGCUUGUUAUGUGCUUAAAUAACUAUGACUGGAAGGGGUAGUAGAAUAAGACAUGCUCGUAUAGGAGUGGAUGAAGAGGUUCCCCUUGAGAAAGAGAUGUUUAAAAGAUGGUGAUAGAAGACAUGCAACGAUAAAUUGCAAAAUUGAAAAGAGAUUUUGGGAUGAUAUAAGACAUGCAUAAAAAAUUGCAAUAUUAACCCAUUAGUUGGAAGAGGUAAGGAGCCUAGGGUAUCUUGAGAAAAGUGAUCAUGGAUCUAUUGUUAAUUUUGAGAACUUGUUUAAAAGACAGUAAGCAAAUAAAAUAACUUGUUGAUUGGGAUGAAUAUGAUAUUGAAUCUAAAAUUUUUGAUAACUCUAGUUUCUUAGUGGACUAGAAUCAAAUACUAAAAUUUGACGAGGAUAAUGAAAAUGACGGCAAAGGAAAAGAUUUAAAGGCAAAUUUUUUAAUUAGUGAUCUCCACGAGAAGAAAUCAAAAUUAGAUGUGUGUUUAAGAAAAAUUUUAGAAUUAAUGAGGUGAAAGCUGAUGCUAUUGCAAUUCAGCUCAUGCAAGACUUACAAGUCGUUGGCAGUAUCCAAUUCGAAUAUUAUAGACUUCGUCUAAGGUAGUUUACAAAGAAAGUACCCUUAAGACGUGAUUAUAAUAAAAAGUCUAUAUUUCCUGAAAAACAGAAAAGAAAAACACUACAAAGCUGAGAAAGGCAGACAAUAUCGAUUGUCAAAAUCUGAAGGAUACUCAAAUGAGUUUCGGAAAUAUUGAGGAGGGUGUAGGAAAACCUGAAAAUGUACGAGAGAACACAACCCCAUCAUGGGUUGCUGUAAUAUGAUAGAAUGGAAUGAAAAACAUAUUGGAAUGAGCAAUAACUAUUACUUGAUUUUUCUAUUUUCUGGUUGUGUAAUUAUCAAUCUGUAAGUGUUACAUAUUGAUCCCGUCUACACUGGCAUUUUUCUCAGCAGAUUGUUGAAGCUGCAAUGCAAAUUCAAGGCCCCAAACGACAUCACCCAUUUUAGGGCGUUCAAUUCCUUGACCAUGUAAGCAACUGUUAGCAAUCUCUGCAAAGUUAUUUAAAGAGACAGGGGAAACCUCGCCCUUUAAAUGUGGAUCCACGAUCUGAUCAAGGGUUCCUCUUUGGUAACAUUUUCGUGCCCAGUCAGCUAAGCUUGCUUGAUCUUUCGGUGAACCUGGAAUCACUGGUGGCCUUGCACAUAGCACCUCAAACAAAACCACACCGAAUGAAUAAACAUCAGAUUUCUCUGUCAGGUGUUGCCUACGGUAGUACUCUGGAUCCACAUAUCCAAAGCUACCUCUAACUCCAGUGCUAACAUGGGUUUGGGAUGUACUAGUGGGACCUAAUCUGGACAGCCCAAAAUCUGAAACCUUAGCCACCCAAUUCUCAUCUAACAAUAUGUUUGUUGACUUCACAUCACGGUGAAUGAUUGUGUGCUUUGCUCCUGAAUGAAGAUAAUGCAACCCUUUAGCAGCACCGAUGCAUAUUUCUAGCCUUUGCUUCCAUGGAAGAGGAGAGUUCUUUGUUUUGUAUAGAUGUUCUCUAAGAGUGCCUCUUGACAUGUAAUCGUAUACAAGGAUCAUCUCGCCAUGAUCAUCACAGUAUCCAAUCAGUGACACUAGAUGAAGGUGGCGCAGAUUGGAUAACAUCUCAAUCUCUGUCUGGAACUCACGUGUCCCUUGCUUUGAUGAUGAAUCUAGUCGUUUGAUGGCUACUGCGAUGAAACCGUAUUCAAUGUAUCCUUUAUACACAGUACCAAAUCCCCCUGAACCAAUAAUAUUUUGAUCAUCAAAGUUUCCUGUUGCUUCGUUGAUUUCGAAAAAUGUAAACCGUCGGCAAAGAUCAGUAGGUAGUGAUGAAGAGAUUGUAGUCGUGGACCUAGAUGUUUGUGAUAUUAUAGUACAGGAGGAUUUUUCCUCACUCUUGCUAGGGUCCUCGACUCGCUUCUGCUUGAAAGCAAAGAAAUAAAGAAUAAGAGAGCAAGCAAAUACUGCACCUAUGGAACCUCCAACGAUGGCUAUAACCGUAAGUAUUGAUGAUCUUUUGCCCGUUCUUCUGUCUUGUAGACUUGGAUGUUGUUCUGCUGGUGGAGGAGCCACUGUUGGCUCAGGGUUGAAUCCUGCAAGAUUUCCGCCUGUUCUAUUCAGCUUGAAUAUUUCCAAGCCAUUCAAGAUUGCAUCAGCGUAAGUAGGUUUCAGUUCCAUGUUAGGGUGUAGUUCGAGCCACAAGCCCUGCUUGCUCUGGCUCCCUGGAGGGACCCGCACCAUGUAGUCUUUGUAAACUGGAAUGCCGUUGCCACCGCUCAUAUGGAUCACAUCUGCAUCAUCCUGUGCUGUUUGAUUGUUGAUGAAUAUUAAAAAUACCUGUUGAUUUUCAUUUUUGAACUCCAUUCGAGUCUCACAAAAGUGGAGCCUAAGGAGAUAAAGGAAACCAGCAUCAACUGGGAAGAUCCAUGUGAGAUUGUAAUUCAUGUUAAGACGUGGUUCAGGACCCAUAGAACGCAUAGUACUAUAUACCAUAACAGGUGCCGAGUAAGCUGGCGUUUUGGUUGUGUACUUUAUCAUAACGCCUGGGAGAUAUGGAAUGUUUCCAGCUUGUCUAAAGAGAUACUCUGAAUCUUGAUGCCAUGUCCUGUACAUUCCAGUGUCUCCAGUGCUGCUGAUAUCUUGCCCCCCAACAUUCAGUCGAUAAACUGUCUCAAGCGCAGUUGUGUUAUACAGAAAGGUGUGGACAUCGGGGCCCACAUAGGUCAGUGGAUUAUCAUCGCCACGAGCAUAGAAGCUGUCUGGCAUGGAAACGAUUUCGAUACCAUUAAUGAAGGCAAAAGAUGCUGGAGACGGAAUGAAGGUUAAUUCAAGCUUCUGGUUGUCCCACACGGUGAUGAUGAACUCUUUGGUGAAGUAGUCAACUGGAGGUCUUAUAGCAGAAAUUAACUGUAAGAGAGGCACUAAAGUUGUUUAGUAGCUUGUAGUUGUUGGCACUAAGCGAAAAAUAGGAUUUGGAUAUGUCAAGAUUUGAGUAAGAAGCUGGAUAAAAGUAGAGACGCACAAAUUUUGGGCCAGGCAAGACUGGAAAUGUGUAAGUGAAUUUAGAGUGAAAAAUACGGGCUGUCAUGUAUGGGACUUGGUCGACAGAGGGGUCUUGAGUGGAGGCUUCAAACACAGAUGAGGCUUCUGGGGGGUUAGAGGCAGCAAACUUAGACUGGGAAUCACCAUCCCAGCUGCGACCAUCUGGAGAUGACAAAUUAGAGGAUGCACCACAGUUAAGGAGUAUUAGAUCAGUGGGGCUGUAUGGCAGCAAGUAAUCUUCAGUAGCAGUACCAUAGAGGAAGAGAUGGAGGGGAGGGAGAAGGUAGAGAAAGAUGAAGAUGGACAUUACUAUGCUAGUUCUUUGGUGGAGUAAAUUGGAGUAAGAAAAAAUAUCUAUUAAAUGCAAAGAUUUUGAUUUAAGGGAAGAUAAUCAAUGGUGUCGCUGUCUCCAUACAGUAACAUUUUUGCUCAGGUUGAGAAUAAUCCAAUAAUAUAUUUGAGACCCGUCGGAGAAGAAAAUUCGACGAUAUGGCUAAUGGGACAUAUUGGUCAGCUUUGGAUGGCUGCUUCCCGUUGUGUGGUUCUGAAUUCCGCAAUAAAGCCGCAAUGAACAAUCUAAUUUCAACAAAGGAUCGACCUAUUCCUUUUUGGUUCAUGAGUGUGCCUUUUUGGGCUGAGCUUAUAACCAAAAAUCUUCUCAUCUGGUAUAGUAAUCGCUUACUGCAAAACUUGGUGGUAAUGAGAAAUCUUUCUUCCCCUUAAUCGAAGAAUAAUGGAUUUACCUCUUGAUAUAUCUGGGACAUAUUUGGUAUCUAUUAGAAAAUAAUAUAAAUUAUAUAUUGAAAUUUUAUUUAAAAAUUUAAGUAAUUGGGUUGAGAUGGUUCUUUGAUAUGAUAUCAGAGUCUUAAUGACAAAACAUGCAUGAGAUUAAAUCUCAUCAUUCUCAUCUAUUUGAUAAAAAUUAAGCACAAGGUAAUGUGAGCCUAUGCAAGUUUAAAGCUCAAAAGACUUUCACUUGAAAGAGUGUGUUAGAGAAUAAUAUAAAUUAUAUCUUGAAACCUCACCUAAAAAUUUAAGCUAUUGGAUUGAGAUAGUUAUUUAACAGUACAUAAUAAAAUCAAUAGCAACAGUGAAGAAGAGGCAAGCUGUCCUCUCUUCCCUGGAGAUGGUAAUUUGCUCUCUCUCAUCCUGUUAAGCUUGAUUUCCAUACAUGAGGGGAAACUGAAUGGAGUUCUCGGUGGAUGAAAAAUAAUUGGAAUAAUAAAUGAAAUGAAAUUGAGUUUCAUUGUUGAAAAAAUCAUGCUGAAAUCACUUCAAUCCUAAGGAAAAUACAAGUCUUCUACAAUGAUCAGGUCUAGCAAAUGUUCUUAUCUUGUACAAACACGACACCUAAUGCAAACCUGUGAACAUUCCAAGAUCUUUUUUUAAACUUCAUUGCUUGCAAUAGAUCAAGGAAGCUUCGCCAUUAAUUAGUGCACGAGAAAGACAAUCACUAGAUAUCGUAUCAACAUAGCAAUUGCUUGCUAUUUUCUUCAAUUAUAAAUCAUUAUAAAGUAUAUACAAAUUUUAUUGUUAUUGUUGGGAUAUUGCCAUUAUUGGGCAACAUGUGCAGCCUACCCUAUAAAGAGUAGGGUUACCAUUUGUCAAUGGUAGUUGCACCCACCAUUGAUAAAUGUAUCAACCCAUGUGCAACUGUUGUUGUUGAAGAAGAACAACCACCAUCCUUGCCUAUAAAUAGACAACAAGAGAGCAGAACAAUUGAGAGAGGGAUUGUGAGAAUGUAGAGAGUGUGAAGAGAGAAAGAAAGAGAAGGGCUGCCACCAGCAGCCCUGCUGCCUUAUGCAGCAAUGAGAGAUGAGAGUUGAGUGGAUGUGAUCCUCCUCCAUGUGUUGUAUUCUUUCUCUAUCUCUAAAUAAAAUGAACCUCUCCCAUGGAUGUAGGCGGUUUUGCCGAACCACGUUAAAUAUUGUGUCAGUGUGCUUGCCCUCCGUUGAGCAAAGAUCAGUACAUCACUGGUCGGAUUUCCCAACAAUUGGUAUCAGAGCUGAUGGUUUAAAGUGGUGUUUGAUUUUUGCUCAAAAAAUGAAAGUUGUCAAAAUUGUGUUUUGACCAUACCACCGUGUAGAGGAGGAAGAGACGAAGCCACUGUUGAAAACUGCGUUGAAAUCGGACGUCGGACAUGGCCGCACGUGCCGUCACGCGCCAGCGUCACACGUGUCUUCUUCGCCCGGAUGGGCUGACCCGACCCGAAUACCAGACGACCCGACCCACGUGGCUGACUCGGAUAAGGAUGACAUCAGUAUGCCGUAAUUAUGACGUCAUCAUGCACAGUAGCAUGGCCCAGGAUGACAUCAACAUGAUGUAAUGGUGGCGUCAUCAUGCACAGUUAGCACAUUGGACCCACUAACACGUCAUCAGCCGUGAGCCGAGCUGAUCCGAGCGGCGAGCCGAGGGAUAGGAUUCUGUGCAGCUGAGUCUAUGUGCAAUCGGAUCUGAGAUUGAAUCUGAGCCGUUGAUCAAGCCAGAAUUGUUUUGAUCAAAGCUUAGCCGUCUGAAGUGCGAUUUGGACGAUUCAAGACAUGUUUCCAGCUAAUUUGAUCAUUCCAGAUGCAAUGGUACGGUCCGAUCAUUGAGAUUUGAGACCGAAAAUGGCGGUGGUGAAUUAUUAAAGAGAGAUUGCCCGAUCAGGAGGCAUCUGAGGGUCUUGAUGGAGGUCGAUGAAGAUGAUGAAGAAGAAGGUGCACAUGUUUUCCCAAUUAUAUGUGUUGAACUAUUAAAUGGGAAAAUGUAAUGCCUUGAUGGAAGGCAAAAUUAGGACACUCUGGACACCCAGUUAUGUGGACAAUUAGAGGUGGAGAGUGAAAAUUGACGAAGACCAAUCUUGACGAAUCUAAGCACUGGUAGUCUCGCUAGAUGUUGAGAAAUCAGGUAUAAAACCAAGAUACCCAGAUCACUUGUAAAGGAAAGCCGCAACAAAGCUAGCAAAUGGUUGUAUAUACGGAAAGACAGUACGAUGGAUAGAUAUGGCCUAAGAAGUUAUGUCUAGGAGAUUAGGUUUUAAGUGGGACCGUUGUGACCCCUCCAAUCUUUCCUGGGAACUUGCUUAGUGGAAGGAUUAUCCAUAUGGUACUAUUUUCGUAUAUGUAACAGUUUGUAAUGAAAUUUUUGAAGACUAGCAGGAUGACGCCACAAGGGGAACAAUUGGGUUCCGUAUGAUCAAGGAUCUGAUGGAGUAGUGAUUUCUUCAAAGAAGCUAGAUUCGGUGACUGUGAUUUCUCGAGGGGAGAAUUGAUGAAGACCCUGAUAAUGGAAGAGAAAUACAGCAAGGGGAUAAAGAUUGGCACCCUAUUUUGACUUGGACAAGUGUUGUGACAGGAUCAGCUGCUAUCAAACAUAAGCAAGGAAUAUGGAGAAAUCUGGAGAACAGAAAUUGCACGAGAGCACACGAAGAUUAUGCAGGAGUACCCGUAGGAUCCAACGAGGUACUGUAAUGAGAAGUUUAUUAUGUUGUUGUUGAAGAAGAACAACCACCAUCUUUGCCUAUAAAUAGACAACAAGAGAGUAGAACAAUUGAGAGAGGGAUUGUGAGAAUGUAGAGAGUGUGAAGAGAGAAAGAAAGAGAAGGGUUGCCACCAGCAGCCCUGCUGCCUUAUGCAGCUGCUGCCCAAUGCAGCUGCUGCCCUAUGCAGCAAUGAGAGAUGGGAGUUGAGUGGAUGUGAUCCUCCUCCAUGUGUUGUAUUCUUUCUCUAUCUCUAAAUAAAAUGAACCUCUCCCAUGGAUGUAGGUGAUUUUACCGAACCAUGUUAAAUAUUGUGUUAGUGUGCUUGCCUUCCGUUGAGCAAAGAUCAGUACAUCAUCGGUCGAAUUUCCCAACAGUUAUACUCAUCAAAAACAUGAGUAAAAAGAAAGAAGAAGGGUUCAGACAGUCACCCUACACGUAGAGCAAACUGAUCCACCCAUCUUGGUGGAGCUCACAUAGACGGAUUGGGUCACCUUGCGCUUUAUAGGUCGCUGUUGAAAUCGAAACCCACGCAGACAGAUAAAGAACCGACCCCUUUGUCCCCUCUUCCUCGAUCAACUACCAUGUUUGCAUCGAUUGUAGCAAGUGCAAGGCCGAGAGUUACCAUUGAUCGGUUUUGCACAGUUGCCAUAUAUUUGUGCAUUGCAAAUUGGUUGUCGUUCUAAACUCUUAGGCCAUGUUUGUUUCCUAAAAAGUAGUUUUUGGGAAAUAAUUUUCCAGACUUUCUUAUGUUUGUUUACUAUUAGAAAAGUUGGUCAAAUGAAAACACUUUCCGGUCAACGGAAAACACUUUUUAGUCAAAGAAAAUUUUAGCUUGGUUUUCAGGAAAGUGUUUUCCAUUUUAGCGGUGUUUAUUUUCUGAAAAGUGGUUUCCAGGAAAUCACUUUCCAAACUUUCUUGUGUUUGUUUGCCAUUAGAAACGUUGGUCAACAGAAAAUACUUUCCAGUGAAAGGAAAAUUUGACUUGGUUUUCAGGAAAGUGUCUUCGUGGAAAAUUUGGGCGGAAAACACGUUCCGAAAGUUGUGAAAAAUUUAGAAAUGUCAUUAUUUGCUGAUUAUAUCAAAUUUGAUCCUUAAACUUUUGAUUGCUAUAUAUAUUUUGUUUUGAAUAUUUAUUUUUCAAUUUCAUCUCUUAAAAUUUUUAUUUUAUAUUAACUUUGGUCCUUAUUUUUAUAAUUGCUAUUUUCUUUUUCCUUAUCAUUUUUUUAUUGAAAUUUUUUAUCUAUCAAAUUUGGUCCUCAUUCUUUUGAUUGUUACUUAAUUUUUUAGAUUUGAUCGAUAUUAUUUUGAUUAUUAUUUAUUUUAUUUGAGAUAAUUUAUGAAAUUAUAUUUAUUUUUUCAAUUUCAUUCAACUUUUUAAUUUAUAAGAUUUGUUCCUCGUUAUUUUAAUAAACUUGAGAAAAAUAAAAUAUUAAUAAGUUAUUUUCCAACUCAUUUUCCAUGACAUAACCAAACACUGGAAAAUGUUUUCCAACUUAUUUUCCAUUACACUACCAAAUAUCGGAAAAUACUUUCUCGGAAUUCACUUUCCGAAAAGAAACUACUUUCCAACAAACAAACGGGCCUUAUAGUUAAUAUAGUUACCUUGAGAGGCCAGUAGUCUCUGAUGCACUUCAGAUUCCAUAGAGAACUCCUCUUCAUUACCUUCACCGAUUGUGGCAUUGAAAAUUGGACUCGAGUUUGCUUUCAAGAAAGGCAGCUGCAGAAGCAGAUGUGAUCACCAAAACAAGCAGGAUAGUUAAAGAGAGCCACCAGAGGAAUUCAAUACUUACGUUAGGCCUCGUCUCUUUCUGUCUGUACCCUUCUGUUACAGAGUUUGAAGAGCACUAAAUAAACGUCACUGCGAAGAAUGCUUCGAACUCUGGAUAUGGAGUGAAAGGCUAGCUUUUUUCCAUUGACUUGCUUUUUUUGUGAAGACUUAGGUCUUCACAUGAAUGUGAUUUUGAUGUUUUAUACUAUCUUAAUCUAAUAAUUUAAAUUAUUAGAUAAAAUUAUAAAAUAUGAUAUAUAUUGUUCAAGAAUAUUUGACAAAACAUCCAGCCACUUAUAUAUAUAUAUAUAUAUAUAUAUAUAAGAUCAGGACCAUAAUCUGGAUUUUCGUUAGUGAAUUCAUCCUCAUCGGAACUUGAUAUUUCAUAUAAGGCUUCUUGGAGUUUUUUCUUGUAUUCUGACGUUGAGCUUGAUGAUGCAAGGUUUUCUUGAAUUCAACUUUUAGAGGUGAGAAACGUAAAUUGCCUUCUUGAGAUAGAGUUGAUGGGUAUGCUUGCAGCUAUGGAAUUUGAUGUGAUGAGAUUAUUGCCAAGCAUGCACAAUUUCAGAACAAGCUUGAGCUUCUCUGAAUUUGGGUCCACCAUUUGACUUUGAUUUUUCUCAUGAGAUCUAAAGAGUAACCAAUAUCUUUAUUUACAUCAUUCAUUAUAAUGGAGUCCCAAGAUAGCAUGAGACACCAAAGGUUGAGAUGAAAUAAAAAGAGGUAGGAAUUGAAUUCAAAGGUAUUUUUACUGUAAGCAAUUCCAAUCCUUUGUAUGAUUUUUUAGGGAGAAUCUCACUUAUUGAAGAAAAAUAUUGCCAUCAAUUGUUUGACAACUAAGUUGGAAAAUUCUUUGGAAAUGUUUUGAGAAAAUCUUUCAAGGUGCAGGGUUUUGAUUCAUCUCUUGAAAGGUUAAAACCUUUUGAAUUUUUAUUUUUGAAAAAACAAGAUUGUUUACAUCUUGAUUAUGAGUUAUUUCAACAAAGUCAAUAUCAACCAAAAUAAACUCAUAGAAUUGUUUUGUUUUCAACAUAUUUUCUAAAAUAACUUGAAAAUAAUAGCUUCUUGACUUGAAAGGCUUAAAGCUUUUUUUAGGAAAAAUUUGGAGGGUAAUUAACACAAGUGAAAGUACAAGCAAUGGGACAAUAGCGAGAAAAAGAAAAUUAAUAGUUGAAAUAGAGUAGAGCACAUGAAUUCUAAUUUAUAGUUUUAUUGAUGAAGAGAAAAAUUCACUAUUUCUUUUGCCUCUUUAUGAUGUUUUCAACUUUUUAAAUAAGCUAAAAAAAUCAAACUAAUCAAACUAGAAAACCCUAAAAUAAAGAAAAAAAAUAUUAAAAUUCCUAAACAAACUUAGAGAAAUAAAAUUACUAUUCUCAAUAUUUAAUUUCCUAAACUAAAUAGAAAAAAUAAAAUCACCGAAAAUAUUUUCCUAAACUACAUAGAAAAUAAUAAUAACUAAGAAAUUUUAAUUUCAUAAAAACCCUUGGCAUCAACAAUAAUGUUGUAAAAGGUGUAUUAAUUUUGGGAUUGAACAAACAAGGGAGUUUGGAGAGAUUAAGAAUAAUUUAUAGGUGAGGUGUUUGGACUAGAUCAUGCUGAUGAAAGGAUUCAAAAUUGAUUAUUUAAGACACUAGCCCCAAGGAGGUCAAACCCUCCCUGAAAUAAAUUAAUAUCUUGAAUGCUUGAUGUUGUGGUUUGAAUUGGUCUUGAUGGUGUAAGAGCAUAUGAUUAUUUUGACUUAUUUUGAGCCUAGUAAAGACUCUUUGGAUAAAAGACUCUUUUACUUCUUUCAUUAAUUCAAUCUCCAAAUCAUAUUUUAAUAAAUUAUCUUGUUACCUGGCAAAACUUUGUUUUGACACAAUAUUUUGAAUAUUUUUUUCAACAACUUAUUUUACAUAUUGACAAUUUAUUUGUAAAAGAAAUUUCUGGAAAAUAAAUCAUCUUGAAAAUAUUAGAUGUAUAAAAUAAUUAAUAAAAUUUUCUUUUUGAUAGUUGAAUAAUUUUCUUGAGGAUCCAACCAAAUACCUAAAUGAUAUUGCACUAUAUGUUAUUGACUUUGAAAAUUUUGUUUGAGAAUACCACUGUAACUAAUAUCAAAGGCAUCGGUUUCAACUAUAAAAAAGGCCUCUAGAUCAUAAAGUCUUAAACAUGAAAACUCUUGACUUGACUUUUAAGAGUAUUCACAAUUUUGAUCAUUUGAUGAUUGAUUUUAGACAGGAGGGUUUUUCUUAAGUCUUUUGUACAAAGGUUGACAUAUAGUUCUAUGAUUUGGAAAAAUAUCUAAAACAUAAUCGAGGCAUCCCAUAAACUUUUAAAGCUAGGUUUUACCCUUGAUCUUAUUUAUGAAUUUAAUGGUAAAUUUUAUUAUAGUGACAAGGGUUAUUGAUAAAUUAUAAUUUUUAAGGUUGAGAAAACUAAUCUAUUUUGUUUGAUAAUAUUAAGAAACGUUUGUAAGUUGUUGAAAUGUUUGGUUAUUAGUUUUAAAAAUAAAAGAACAUCAUCUAUGUAUAUAAUCAUAAUUUUGAAUAUAGAUUAAAGAUGUCAUUCAUGAUGCUCUGAAGUUUUGAAGGAGUAAUUUUUAGUUCGAAAGACAUUAUAUCUCAUUUGUAAUGACCAAAUGAAAUAAUGAAUGUUGUUUUAUAAUGAUUUUUUUAAUCAAUUUAGACUUGUUAGAAUCUUGAUUUCAUAUCAAUUUUUGAAUAUAUUGAAGAAUUUUAAAGUCUUCUGAUAAGAUCUCUCUUAUUGUGUAUUGGAUAUCUAAUAUAUUGGAGCACUUUGUUGAGAGGCUUGUGAUUUAUGACAUGUAUUAGUGCAUGAUUAGUACUUAAAAGUGUAUUUUAUCAAUGUUUUAUAUUAUCAUUUUGUACUUGAAGUAUCAAUAACUCCUUAACUAGAGCAUGUUUUAUAAUAACAAGUCUGAUAAUAUAAGAUAACUUUAAUUUAUGGUAAAUGCUCAUUUUAAAUACAGACAUAUCUCACAAUUCAAAGGAUUGAUUGCUGUGAUUAACUAUUGAAAGUGAAAAGACAAAGAAAAGGCUAAGCUUAGAAAGGAGAUGCAGAUUCAAUUCAAAUUGGAACACUGUUAAGUUAUUGGGUCAUAUCUGGAGCUACAGUUCUUGGAUUUCAGUUUGGUUUAUAUGGCUAGAAAAAUAAGAAAUAGGCUUACAAUGUUCAUGAAUAGUGAAAGACCCAAAUCUUCCGUUUUCAAAUUCAAAGUUUGGCCACAAAAGAGAAGUCAGAAUCUGUCAUACAAUCCAGCCCAAACACUUCUCAUACUUUUACCCAUAGCUGGAGUUUUAAAAGGAAAAAUGAUGUCAAAUUUGGUGGCUAGAAGGAUAAGACAAUUUCCAAAAACUUUCAUGAAGACGACCUGCUCCAAUUCUGAUGUUAGAAAUGACAUUUCAUCCAGACAAGAGCUUGAGGGCUGUCCAUUACGUCCACCAGAAGCACUACUCAAUAUUUUAGCCAUAUCUCAAUCUCUAGUGAUCCAAAUGCUCUAAAAUUUUAUGGAUGGAAAGAUGAGAUGAUUGCAGACAACUUUUAUGAAGAACACUUUGCCAAAUGUUGAUUGAAUCAAUGUCAUUUCAUCCAGCCAAAAUGCUUAAGUGUUAUUGUCCACCAAGUCCACUAAAUCAAUAGUUGGCCACUACAUCAAUAAUCAAUUACCAAAUGAAUAGUUCCGAAUUUUAGCCUAUAAAAGGAGACAAUUGCAAUUCAUUUAGGCAUCUUGGUUCUUAGAUCAAGAUCAUGUUCUUGCUCUCUCUUUAAAUUUUUGUAAUGCUUAAGUUUUGCUUUCAUUAAUCUCUUGUUUAUGCUUUUCAUUUUCUUUACUAUACUUAGUUAACUUAUAUCAUGUUUAUGUUCAUAUAUUGUUUAUUUAUGUUUUUAUUUUUCAUAAUGUCGAGCUAAGUUAAUUAUGUCAAGGUGAAAAGGUUUCACUAAUGGUGUUAGAAUAUGUAUAAUAUAAACUCAAUAUGGACUUCAAUGUUUAUAUCCAAGAAAGUUUGUUAUUAAUAUGUCAUAUCUUUUUAUCUUAUUAAUUCUUAAUACCUUGCUUGUUAAAUGGUUAAUCUAGAUUUGUGUUGUAUAACACUUGGUAAAUCAAAUGCUUGAUCCUUCAUAGUCUUCGGUCAACAUCAUUGUUAUGAGAAGAACUUGAUUUGUUGUUAACAUAAGUUAACAUCAUGAAUUCCUGAUAAUAUUUAAAAGUAUGGUGUUACUAAAAUAAGAUAAUUAAUAUGAUCAUGUUAAAAAUUUAUAAUUAACUUUUACGGAUAAAUCAUCCGAUUGGAACCUCCUUUGUGUGUGGUUUCCAAUUGAGUAAUAAAAAGAGUUUAUACUAUACUUAUUUCUAAUACCAUUAGUGGACCCUCUAACCUUGACAUUUAUUUGUAUUAUUGUUUAAUCCUCACAUUAAUCUUAUAUCUCAAAGAUCUCUUUAUAUAUAUAUAUAGUUAACUUUCCUGUGGAUCGACCCCGGUCUUGCUGAGUUAUUUAUUACUUUGACACUCCUUCACUUGAGAGAAGACAUCAAUCUUUUUGUCAUGUCAAUGCACUUCUUUCUAUUUCAGCUUGAUUCCAGACAUAAAAAGGUGGCACAUAACCAUGAUGAUUUACUAGGGCUUAUAAGACACUUUUUGAUUAAUUUGAGGUAAUUUCCAAUUAUCAUUGUACGUGACUUUAUCUCAUUAUCAAAGUUUAGGAACUUGAAUGUUUGAAUUUUGAGAGUUAGCUUUAAUAAGGAGAGUUUAAUUUAUAGAUGAAUUUUUGAGAGGUUUUGGAGCUAUGUUUGUAUCCAUGAUUUUGUAAUAUAUUCUAUAGAUGAUGACUAUAUUCAUGGAAUCUUGAAGCAUAUCAGUACGAGUCUUAACAAGUCUCAAUAUUUAGAGCUAAGGUUUUCACUAUAAUAUCUAGGUUGAAUAAUGAGAUAGUGAAAUUUCGAUAACAAUUCAAGUAUGUAGAACCAUUAACAAGAUUUGAUUGAAAGAUUGUAAGGAGUGAGUUUGAAAAGGUCAUAAAUUUGUGGUCUCUUGAAAACAUAAGUAUGGGAGAGUCUAAUCCGAGAUGAUGAAUUGGUUUGAGUACAAUCUGUAUUAGACGGUGAUCAUUUUCGGUUUGGUUUUUUUAAAAAAACCAAAACCGGUUCAAACCGACCGGUUUCAGUUUGACUCGGUUUUUUCUGGUUUGGAUAUGUUUUUUUCGAUUUAGGUUUGGUUUGGUUUUUCAGUUUCAAACUUAUAAAACAAAAACCAAACCGAACUGGUCGGUUUUUCUGGAAAGAUAUAAUUGUUUCAAAUUGUUUGAUGAAGGCUGGUCUAGAUCAUAAAUAAUUGUCAUUACACAGUGCCGGUCUAACUUGAAAGAUGUUAAUGCCCCAUUAAUUGCGACGCCUAAGCUCAUAAACGAUAUCCAUGAAUUAUGAUGACCAUUAAGGAAGCUCAUAGGAACUCCUUAAUUUCAAGUUGCUUCUUAAUUUGUCUUCUUGGACAUGCAUGUGAUCUAAAGGAACAAAGGGAAAUUAAAUGCUUAAGCAUGAAUGUGAUCGUUCUAUAUAUGUUCGUCUUCAAGCUUUGAAAUUUUUAUAGCUCAAUUAUUAUAAUUUUUUUUAAUUUUUUUAUGUGGGAAAAGAGUAUCAAAAUUGUGGGAAAUAUAUAUUAGAAUAUUUCAUGGACUGCACUGCUCUAUGAUUGUGCAUUUAUAACCCAAUUAUUAUUAUUUUUUCUUUUUCCUGUUGAUUGCAUUUUGGAAUCCAUUUGAUUAGACAUAAUUUGAACUGGAAGAAUGAAUUGGGUUCACCUUCAUUUGUUCUGUUUUAAUGUGACUGAGAGCCUUAUUUUUUUAAAUGUAUUGUCACUCAUUUAGAUACUGGCUAAGUAGAGUUUGCAGUCAGAUUAACAUACAGUAUGCAUUCAUUCCAUUAAACCCUAAUGGAGUGAAUGAAUAAAAUGACUUUUAUUAAAUGUUCCUCUACUACUUGGAUGCUGAACUGGAGUAUUGGAGGUUCCCACAUUGCCCCAUUGUUGGUAUAUUCACCACAAGAAUUCACAGUUUUAUCGAGGGCAAUAUUCCGUCGGUGUGUGAUUGAUAGUACUUCGGUAAAUUAUUUACCGACUAAAUUACCGACAGAAUACGUCUGUCAGCUUACCUUUCAUCGGUGAUUCCACAUUCCGUCGCUUUAUUGAUCGGAAAAACAAAAAAAAUCAUUUACCGACGGUUUUACAGACGGAAUUUGCGUGCCAAAAAAAAAAAGUUUCCCGCUUCAAAAAUACCGACGGAUUUUUAUUCCAUCGGUGAUAUCACAAGUCACCGACGGUUACUUUCCGUCGGUAAAUUAGUCGGUGAAUUGUUGAAAUACCGAUAGAAUAUAUUGUCUGUCAAUUCGUCGGUAACUUGUAAUACCGACGAAAUUAUUCCAUCGGUAAAUCUGUUGGUGAGUCAUGAAAACACCGACCGAAUUUAUCUGUCUGGAAAUUUGUCGGUGAUGGUUGCGGCUACUGUCUAAUACCGACGGAUUUAUUCCGUCGGUAAAUCCCUUUAUAAUUUUUUUUCUAUUUUUUUUAAUAAUUAUUUAGAAUACAUAAUAUAAAAAGGAUAUAAAUUAAUGGUAAUAAAAACCAAUUAUGCAAAUAAAAUUUAUAUUAAGCAUCAAAAACAAAAAAUGAAAGAUAAAUAAUAUUCAUUACAAAAUGAAAUGUUUCAAAAAAACAUUAAAUGAAAUUUUAAAUGUAAAUAAUGUUUAUUAAAAAUUAAUAUAGAGGAGGAGGAGGUGGAGGACGCUGGCUGUUAGGCGGCCAAAAAGGAUUGGGUGCACAUGUUCCACCUUGUGCCAUGUUCAUGACUAUUUGACGAAGCUCUUCAUAGGUCGCUCAUUAUUGUUCAGAAUCUGCUCUGCAUUGUUCUUUGAGUUGUGUGUACGCCUCUGACAGGUGGUCGCACUUUUGCUGCAAGGCCAUGAACUCCUUAGAUUGGGAGCUCGAUACUGAUUGGGAGCUCCUGACGGUUGAAGCAGUAUGGGUCGUCCGCAAGUUGUCGGUCGUAGUGUUGGAGAGCCCGUAAACCCGAUUUUUAUCGAGUCCACUUGAUGAUCCAGCCUCCAUCCACAAAUCCGGAUCGAAUUCCGGAUGGGUCGAAGGAUCGUCCCUGUAUGUCUCCCUCAACCGAUUAUUAUAGGUCUCCUGAAAAUAAAAUAAAAAGUAAUCAUCAUAUUCAAUUCAAUAAACAUAAUAAUAACUUACAAAAUAAAAUUGUUGAACAAACAUACCACAAAAUGUUGAGCACGGCUGUCAACGAACUGUUGCACCCCCUGUUGGCGGUCUUGACUCCGCACGUGCGUCUCCACAAAUAGCUCCAUAGGGCUCGGCUCACGUCCAAGAGACAUAGCCUAUAAUGAAAAAAAUUUAUUAACAACAAAUUAAUUAAACGAUAUAUUUCAUUUAAAUUAAUCUUACCAUCCGUUUUGCAUGUGCAGCAAACGGAACGGAGCCGCCGGUGUGCGUUGUCACCGAGCCAUGAAUUGGCAGAUUCCAGUUGCCAGCACCGGACUAUGAGCAUCGUGUGAACUGCUCAGACGUCACGUGCUGAAUAUAGUGCGGCCAUAUAUCUUCCGGGAAGUAUAUCGGUUUGAAAUCCCUCCAAACCGCAACAUCGUUCCAGCCUUGGAACCCCCUAUCCCUCGCAGGUUUUUUUGCCUUUUUUUAGGCUUCGUACCAAAAAUCACGCAACCUACUUCACGCAAGCAAAAAUUACAUUUCGAAACAUAAAUUUUUUUGUAAAAAAAAAAGUUGUAUUGUUUUCGUUGUUACCUAGUUGCUGCGUGAUUUUCCUACACCCUCCUCACAACAGUGUUAUAUUCCUCGUUCCAACAUAAUCGAUUAUGUGUAUAAAAAAAUAAUUUUUAAAAAUGUUAAUAAUUUAUUUACAAUUAUAUUAAGAAUUUAUUAGAAAUAAGCUGAAAAUUAUAUAUAACACGAACCUGAAAUCUGGAAAACCAUGGAUUGAUUUGAGGCAUCCAUUCAGGAUGCCUGGUUAUCUGACUCCAAUGAAACAAUGGAUUCUCCAUCGAUGAUUUAAACACCGCUGAUAUUACUCGGGCGACCUCAAUGUUUGUGAACCUGAAAAGAAAUGAAAUUAAUUAAAUAGUGACUUCAUAAAUUAUGUUUUUAAUUUUUUUUUUUAAAAAAACUAAAACCUUAACAAACUGACAUUGAAAGAUCGUCUUUUCAUUAUGCCUUGUACUUGCAGGAAAAUCGAUUUCGCUGUGAAGGCACGCCGCUUUUGGGCUGUGAAACAACGCUGGAAGAGGCAGCAUCGGUUGACAGCACAAGUGGUGUAGGUGCCUCUUCUUGAGAGUCACCUAAGGAAAUAUCUUCCUCGCUGCUAGACGAACCUGAUGCGUCCGGACGUGAAGCUCUGGUUUUCAUUCUGUGCAUCUAACCAGUUUUAUAUAAAUAAUUAUAUAAUUAAAUUGAAAUGUUAAAAAAAAAUUCGGCAACACCUCCCCUAUACUAGAUACUACCCAAAUCCACAAACUUGCAAAUAUUAACAAUAGCCACAACCAAUUGACCCAAUCUAUACUAAUUAUUCCAACAUAUUCAAUUACAAAUCCUAAGGUCAAUUCAACAUUAACAAUUACAAUUCAACAAAUUAUUCAAUAAUUAUGCCAAUACAACAAUAAAAUAUAUUCAAUAAAUUAAAAAAUAAUUAUAAACUAAAAAUUAAAAUCAAUGGAAACAAUUAAACACAAAUUAUGCAAUAAUAGAGUAAAAUUACUACGUAUUCCAACAUAUCCAAUUACUAAUUCUAAGGUAAAUUCAACAUUAACAAUUAUAAUUCAACAAAUUAUUCAAUAAUUAUGUCAAUACAACAAUAAAAUAUAUUCAAUAAAUUAAAAAAAUAUUUUAAACUAACAAUUAAAAACAAUGAAAAUAAUUAAACACAAAUCAUGCACUAAUAGAGUAAAAUUACUAAUUAUUACAACAUAUGCAAUUACUAAUUCUAAGGUAAAUUCAACAUUAACAACAAAUAUUCAACAAAUUAACUAAUAACAAUUAUGCCAAAACAACAAUAAAAAAUUUUCAAUAAAUUUUUUUAAAAAAACUAUAGACUUUAGGGAAGAAAUAUGCAUACCUUAAUAAUGUGUUGAAACAAAAAAUUUAUCUACAUUACAAAAAAAUACAACAAAACAAAAAACAUAAAAAGCAUAAAAAUAACUAUAAAUAAAAUAAAAUAAAAUAGAAAAAACACACAUACCUUUUAAUAUGAUGAAGAUUCACAACCAAGCUUGCUAGAGAUUCAACAAAGCUUGAAGAUUUGAGAGGAAAAAAAUCAAAAUUCUAAGAACUUAUAGAAACCUUAGGUCUAUUUUCACGGGCGACAAGCCCACCCAUACUCACUCUGGUCUAUUUUCACAGGCGACCUGCCCACACUCUCACAUUGGUCUAUUUUCACGGGUGACCUGCCCUUUUUAUUGGGUUUACCUAAGAUCCCAUCUUGAGAUCUAACAAGAACAAAAAUCGGUGUGUAGCUCGAUCAACCUGAAAUCCCAUCUAGUAAUUCCCUUUAGCUAGAGCCAAGGUCUGUGCGGUUAGACUGAACUGAGAUCCCUUCGCCGAUCCCCUUCAACCAGAACCAAAAUCCUUUCCAAUUAGGUUAAACUGAGAUCCCUUUGCCGAUCCCCUUUAACCAUAACCAAGGAAUGUGUGGUUAGACUGAACUGAGAUCCCUUCGUCGAUCCAUUUCAACCAGAACCAAAAUCCUUUCCAAUUAGGUUAAACUGAGAUCCCUUUAUCGAAAAUUAACCAACCAAGGAAUAGUUAGACUGAACUGAGAUCCCUUCGUCGAUCCCCUUCAACCAGAACCAAAAUUUUGGUUAAACUGAGAUCCCUUCGUCGAUCCCCUUAACCAUAACCAAGGAAUGUGUAGGGUUGGGCUAGACUGAGAUUCCUUUCGGCAAUCCCCUCUAACCAGAACCAAAAUCCUUUCCAAUUAGGUUAAACUGAGAUCCCUUUGCUGAUCCCCUUUAACCAUAACCAAGGAAUUAUGUAGGGUUGGGCUAGACUGAGAUUCCUUUCGGCAAUCCCCUCUAACCAGAACCAAAAUCCUUUCCAAUUAGGUUAAACUGAGAUCCCUUCGUCGAUCCCCUUUAACCAUAACCAACGAAUGUGUGUAGCUCGGUCAACCUGAAACCCCAUAUAGAGAUUCCCUUUAACCAAAGCUACAUGAGAUCCCAUCUAGCGACCUCAUUCAACUGGAACAAAAGAAUGUGUAAAAAGUGGUCUCAUUAUAAUGGGUGACCUACCCAAGUGGAAAGGAGGAAGAGUGGUCUCAUUCUUAUGGGUGACCUACCCAGGGGGAAAGAAUAUGAAGUGCGGUCUUAUUAUAAUGGGUGACCUACCCAAAAUGGAAAAAAUAUAAAGUGUGGUCUCAUUGUAAUGGGUGACCUACCCAGAUGGAAAGAAUAUGAAAAAGUGCGGUCUCAUUGUCAUGGGUGACCUACCCAGAUGGAAAGAAUGUGAAGUGCGGUCUCAUUGUAAUGGGUGACCUACCCAGAUGGAAAAAAUAUCAUGAAGUGCGGUCUCAUUGUCAUAGGUGACCUACCUAGAUGGGAAAAAUAUGAAAAAUGGUCUUAUUAUGACGGGCGACCUACCUAGAUGGAAAGAAUGUGAUAUGACAAGUGUGAAAAAUAGGACUUACCUGGCGAAGUCUUGAGGGGAUGACAGAAGAUGGGCUGGAAAACUUGGUGCUUCAUGAUAAUCCCCGAUCAUAGGGUUUGAAAACUUGGUGUUUCCUGACUGCAAGAGUUGAAAACUCGAGGCUUCACGAUUGCAAGGUUGAUCUCUUCAUUUCUUUGGGAUUUUCCUAAUGGCAAGGUUCAUCCCAUCAUCCUUUUAUUCCAUGAUCAAAAUCGAUUCUUUAUUAUCAUCACCAUAGUGCUUCUUUCUUUUUUCAACAUCUUGCUGGACCUCAUUAAGGAUUUUCCUGUAACAAUUCAAAAAUAUAUGCAAAUGGUUUUUUUUUUUUUUAAGGUUAGAUGAUAUGCAUGCAUCCUUACCUGAUUUGAAAUAUAGGUCCCCCCCUCUUUGAUGCUCCAUCGUCAUAGGGUGCCCUUGUUUGUAUCCCAAAACUUUCUUUGUUCUUCCGAUACAUUGGCUCAUUCAUGUGCUAGCCAUCCACUCAGCUGUAAAUGCAGUGCCCAUCCCGAGCUGUUUUUGACAAUUACUGCUUGCAUCGUUCAUCAAGCUUGACCCUUCCCCCAAGUGUGGUACUGCUUGAUUCAUCAUGAAGGAUUUUCUCUCCUGGCUUCUUCUAAGAAUUAUCCUCUGAUUGAUUGUGUGCAUCAUGCCAAUACCCAUCAAGAUUGUUAAUCAGUCAUGAACUUGCCUCUAGUUGAAACAAUACUGUUCAAGUACAUGUUAUCAUUAGCCUUCUUGGAACUCAUUCAGUCAUCCAGUCAUGCAUCUCAUAGCUUGCACUACAAAGGCUCAUGGUUGUAUGCUCAGUGUUCUUCUUAAUAGAUUCCCUUCAACUCAGCCUCAUCAAUGAUGCUGCUUUUAUCACUCAUACUCAUGCAGUGAAGCACUCAUCUGGCUUCAAAACAAGUUAUCCCACAGUCAGUCUUCGAGGUGGGUGCCUUUCUGACAUUCAUUCAAUGCAGUUGUGUGAUAACAUCUUCCGAUAAACAUGUUUCAAAGGAUGACAAUAUGACAUUGUCCUUUAAGUGAAGCAUUGUUCCACAGUCAGUCUUGGUGGUAUGCAUCUUUUCUCCAUUCAAUUACAUUCAUCUGUGUAUCUUCAUCGAUCGCUAGCCAUGUUUCAAAAAUGAUGAUAUGAAAGUGUCCUUCAAGUACAUCUUGUUUCUCCAUUGCCGACAGGGUUCACUAAGCAUGGGCCAUUUUGGAAUGACAUUGCCCCCAGUAUGAUCUGAAUGUGCUCGUUCAUUGAUUAUCUGUCUUUGAACAUCAUUGUCUUCAGUUCACUGAUUCAUCAUUUAAUCAUUGCCUCAUAGCUGAUCUGAGCACUGCUUGUUUUUCCUUUUCAAGGUCUACUGUAUUGCCCCCAGCUGCUCAACUUUUCAAGGAGUGUCGAGGACUUCAAUGUCAUUUCUAUCAACGAUUUUGCAUACUCAAUCAAUGUUCUUCUGUGUUUGAUAAUCUUCCUUGUUCUGGAAUCAACUCUCAUAUUUCAAAGAUCAUGUCUAUUCAAAGUCUAGUUUGUUGAAAUGAAAUCAGAGAUGUCCUUUUUGAAAAUCUUUUGAAAAUCAAGCUUUUUGAUCAAAGACCCAACACACGUUAUUCGAAAUACACAGUCCUUUGAUUGUCAUGCAUUUUAAAAACAUAAAUUGACCCAAUGUAGGAUUAAAAAUGGUUUUUUCCAUGGUUCUUUGUAUCAAUUUGAAUCCUUGAUAUUGGGUAUAUCAUUUGAUAGUCUAUGAUGAGGUGACCUUUUCGUGAAUUUCAAAAGCAAGGCACUCAAGUCAACACUUAGGCUUUAUCAAGAAAGGUUGUUUCUCUUCUUAUAACUUGUUUUAUCAGCAUGCAUAAUAACCAAUAGCUUAAUUCAUGAAGUCACGACCCUUAUGGAAAAGCUCUUCAAGUUUUGAGAGCGCCAUUUAUCGGUUCAAAUUGCUUGCUUGAUUAAAAAGGGCUUUUAAAAGCAUGUAAUGCAGGCUAUGGUUCAUGGCUAUGAAAGAAAAGGAAUCUCAAAGGCUCAAAAGGUGUUUGAGGGUUUCAAAGACCUAGGAUCAACAUCAAUUAUUCAUCAACUCUUUUUUAUUGUUGUCUUUAUAGAGGAAACGACAUAUAACCUUGUUAACCUCAAAGAUCAGACUUCACUUAACAUAAGUCAUAAUGCAAAUCCACCUUUCCUUGAUGAAUAACCAACCUUAAUCAUCUGAUAACAUCAGAGGCUUUAUAAUGGACACCAAAAGUCACGUUUAUAACUUAGUCUUUUUUCUGGUAUUGAGUUUUGUUGUGCCUUUCCUUGAUUGAAAUUUCUUUUGCUCUUCAUAGACUUGAUAGGCGUUCUCCUUCCUUUAUCUUUGACUUGUAUUUAAGUGAGGGCAAAUUUCAACUUCCUUUUUUUUCAUUCUCUUUUUUUUCAUAGCCUUCCUCAAAAUUUUCUUAUAUGCCCCCAGUCUAUGUGUUUUCUUUUAUUUCUCUCUCAAUCAUUGGACCUUUGUUCUAAACCUUCCCCUUUAUCCAUUAAUUAUAUCAAUGUCUCCAACAAAUCUCUCAUCUGCCCCCAGUGUGGGGUGUGAUCCUAGUCAUGGUUUUUUUUUAAAGAAAAUACUUUACCAGGCUCAAAAUGGGACUACAAGGGAUAUAAUCUUUAGAAAGUGAAGGGAUAUCAAAGAUGGCCUUUUCUCAUUUCAAGCAAGGUCGGUUAGAACCGAUAAAUUUUGACCCAUCCAGUGUAAUGAUUGGGACUUGUAAGAAUCAUGAUUCACGAGUCCAUAACUACCGAAUCCACUACAUGUCAUUAUGCAUACUGUUAAAACUUAGCUAUAUGAUGUGUGGUUCAGUUUCAGGAGGUAUGAGUUCAAAAUUGUUUAGUCACCUCAUGUCAUUUUCAAGCAUCGAGUCAUUUCUGUAAUCAAAACACUUUUAAUCUUCAGGAUUGAUUAACCUUUAUCGCAUGUUGGAGUUUGAUCAAAAUAUUUUGUCAGAAUAAAAUGCUAAACAUCUGUUGAUUUCAAAACAACAAAGAGACAAAAGCAAGGCAUGUUUCGUUGAAGGAUGAGAUGUGAUCCCAAAACAAAAUGCAGAAUUCCAUAACAAUAUGAUUGAUUGUUCAUCACCAUUCUUGAAUCAGCUUUUCUGGCAAUAUCUGUGUUUUGCCAAGCACUUUCGAUCACAUGUCAUUUUGAAGAUGUUCGGGGGACAAUAUAGCCAAUGACACCCUCCUUCACCGACUCCACUUGUCUCUUGCUCACCAACUUUCGGACUCAAUUCUUGCAAUUCUUGCAAUUGUUCACUUGAAAUGGUUGAGGACCCCACCAUGACAUCAUAUCUCUUGUCUGGAUUAUACCACCUAGAAAACGGUGGUUGCAUGGGAUUUGUCGGAGUCUAGCAAGUCUAGAAUCUGGCAGAUGCUGGCAAAUAAACUCAUAUGACAACUAUUCAAUUGAAAUUCUUGCAACUAUUCCAUUGAAAUGGCCGAGGACCCAACCAUGACAUCACAUCUCUUGUCUUGAUUAUACCACCUAGAAAAUGGUAGUUGCAUGGGAUUUGUCAGAGUCUAGCAAAAGUCUAGAAUCUGGCAGAUUCUGGUAAAUAAACCCACAUAGCAAAGAAUGUCUAUCUUUGGCAAAGACAUUGGAGUAGUCGAUGAUACAACAAGACUUGGUUGGACCAACAUAAUUAAGGUUUUCCAUCGUCAGAUUCUUCUUUUGAUUCAUCUCUCAUCGUUUCUCUAGAAUCCUUGGCAGAACCUUCAAUCUUUCCCAUCUUGAUAGCUUGUUCAAUUUUUGGCAAUCCACACAACUUCAUGUCAAUCUUCCAAUGUUGUUGUUGUUGUUUUAGGAUUGUUGGAAACCCGUCAAUAUCUAGGUAAUCCUGGCAGUGCGCAAAAACAAAAAUGUAUGGAAUCAUAUAUUGUCAAAAUUGGAAGAGAAACUGAUGAAUCCACAACUCCUCUAUUUCCUCUUUGAUUCCUCACUGACGGUGCAACAAACAUCCACUUUUGUGUUUUAAUGCCAAUACUAGUAGGAGAAAAUUGUGGACAAUCUGAAAACCACUGCAUCCCUUCUUGGAUUUCCCAUUUACAGAUCCAUAAAUAGAUUCCUGCCGAGAGAUCUCUGCAACGGUGAAGUUUGAUGUCUGCUCCAUGUUUUUCAAACCAAAUCUGGCUCUUCAACAUGCUACAGUUUCUUCAUGCUGAAACUAAUGAGAGAAAUAUUUGUAGCAUAUGCAAUUAGUAAAUCCUCUCUUGCACUCUCAACUUGCAACAUCAUAAACAGAUUUCUGUAGAGAAAGCUCUGCCACGUUGAAGUUCGACGACUACUCAUAUUUUCAGACCAAGCCUGACUCCUCUGCCUAGUACGAUGUUUUGCUCGUGCCACUGGUGGGAAAAAAGUUUCAAAGCAUAUGAAAUUAAUACAUCCUCUUUUGUAUUUCCCAUUGGCAGAUCCAUAAAUAAAUCUCUACAAAGAGAGCUCUACCACGUAGAAGUUCAGUGUAUGAUCAUGGUUUUCGGACCAACAUCUUGUGCUGCUGACUGAAAUUGAGCUCAUAAUUAGGGUAACUUCAAAGCAGACUAAUGCACCAUGUACAGGAGGCUAGUAGUUGUUUGGUUCCAUUAGAUGAUGUGGAGGCGAUGAACACUUAACAGUGCAACUAGACAAGAACUAGAGUUGUCAUUAGUUGAUGACUGAAGGCAUUGUUGCUGUUGUUCAUGACUGAAAAGGAGAGGCAACUUCAAUUGAACGUGGACAAGCAGUGUUCCCACAGAAGACUGUGUAGACAUUCUCUUUCCAUUUGAUGCUCGACACUUGUUCGAGCAGAUCUGAGUCUAGCUACUUCACCUUUGAUGCUCUCAACCUCAAUCUGAUAAUGAGCCUCUAUCUAACACUUUUCUUCACCUCUAUCAUUUUUCUUCAAUCACGUGCAGCACAGCUUGUGCGGGGGACCUACCUUUCAACCUGGUACAUGCAUGAUAAAUGUAUGAAUAUGUAAUCUAUAUGACAAACUCGCCCUUCGAGGGGUGACAUAUGGUCGCAACUCUUGUAUGAUGAAACAAGAAUCUUGAUUCUUGCACAAACUCUACAAUGAAAAUGUUCUGAGCGACGGUCAUUGUGUCACCCAUAAGUCUGGAGUUCAAGAUGCUUCAAAAAGGGCUUGCUCGGAUGCAAAACAAUGUAUACGGAGCAUACAUCCUAAAGGUAGAUUCUAAUCUUUUUAAGUGAGACAAAAGGUAGGAUAUCAUCUUCUUCAUCGACAUUUGCUUGUCCGCUAGAGCUCAAAACAACGUUCAACUCCUCUACGUCAACAUCAACAAGACUAUCAUCGAAAACACGAAAAUUUGAAUUUUCUUCCAAUUCAAUCGAAGGAGCAACUCGAUAUGGUUCAACCAACUCACUAACUUGAAAGACUUCAUCCCACACACUUGUGUCUUCGUUCUCAUCCUAAACAACCUCGACACGACCCCGUGGUUUUGUUUUUAAAACGAACAACCAAUCAACUCUUGAUCGAUCCUUUCUAAAUGAAGGGGUGUAUGUGUAAUAAACUUGUUGACAUUACUUUGCGAAAACAAAGACAUCGUUUAUGUUGCAGAGUCUAGCUUUUGAGUUGAUUUCGACUAGACCAUGGUGUGUAUCAACUCUGAUUCCUCUGUCCGUCGUGUCAUACCAAUAGCGUUUGAAUAAAAACACUGUAUUCUGCUCGCUAUGAUAUUGUAGUUCGACGACCUCUUCUAAUCUUCCAUAGUAGUCAACUUUUAACUCACUACUUGUGGAUCCUUUAACACAAACACCACAGUUGUAUGUCUUUCUUCAUUGCCCGUAUUCUUCAGUAUGGAAAACAUAUCCAUUGACAAAAUACUUGUUAUAGCACUUAACUUUUCUUUCAGGCCCGAGGCUUAGUGAAGGCAAUGACUUAGACGCACUUCUUCCCAUUUGAUAAACCUUGUAUACAUGUAAUGUACAUCAAUAAACGGUAAAUGAACGAGAAUCUUGUAAUGACAUGCAUACGUACAGUAAUUUUGCAAGUUAGAAUGAGUUUGUGAUAGUGCUUACAUGUGUUCUAAACCAUGUGGCAAAUUGUUCAUCUUGUAAUUGAAAGAUCUGGGAGUCGGUCAGCUGCGAGUUAUUGGAGAGCAAAUAUUGUCGAUGUUGCCUGCAAGUGAUAAUGAGUGUAUGAUUUCACAAUAUAUAAUUAGCAGUAUAUUACUGACAAAGUUUAAAUAGUAUUACACAUAUAUAAACUUACUGAAUAAAUGGUCUUAACUCUUCACAGUUAAAUAGAACAUAGUUGUGUGCUUGUUUGAAUUCUAUUUCCGACAAAUAUCUUCCUCUUGUCGCACGUCAAAAACAAAUCCGUGCGCGGCAUCGACUGGCGAUUAUUCGUUCUGUUUUGCUGAUUUGGUUCUUUAGAGUCGCCACCUAGUAAUUCAUUGAGGGCUACUAGGAAACCUGAUGUACUGGACUUGUCAGAGAUCGCGGGUAAGGGACUGGUUGUGGUUAGGGAAGGUAUUAGCACCCCUAACGCACCCUACCUGAGGUAAGCUGCUUUGUGGACUUGAUGUGUUAAAGAAGUUUUAAAAAUUAUGUUCUUUCAUCGAAUUUUAGAAAAUACAACUUACAUGUAAGUUCAUAAUUCUUUAUCCGUGAUCAAAUCAGAAUAUUAAAUUCUUCUUUAUUCUUGCAAUUUUAUCAUAAUAAAAAAAACAUUCAUAAACAAAAAUACACACCACAUUCACUUUCAAGCUUUGUGGACUUGAUGUGAUAUUAAAAAUAAAAUUUUAGCCCAAUUAUAAGGCUUUGAUAAAUCAGUUAUUACUUUUCCAGACUAUUAUGUAGAUACAUGUUCUACAUUUCCAUGGAAAAUUCAACAUGAUUUUUAUCUGUCCUUUAGAUAUUUGUGCAUAUAAAAUAAAUUCCUUUUUUUUUAUUCAAUAACAUUCAAAAAAAAAAAUACAAGCACACAAACAUUUUUUUUAUUAUUAUUAUCACUUUCUCUGUCUUUUCUUUUCUUUUCUUUUACAUCCUUUUUUUUGUUCUUUUUAUACAUUACCUUACAAAUUAUAAAAACAAAUCAAACUAAAUAAAAAUGACAUUACAUAAUUUACAAUUUACAAAAACAGUCCCUAAACUCAAGAAAUUGCAUUGAAGGACACUGCCGGAACUGCCCUGAACUUGUGGCGGCGCGUCUUCCCACGUGCCACCGUCACUGGCGGCGCGUGAAUCUAGAAACAGCGGGAUCUGGUUCGGCUUCUCUCCUUCUUCCUUUCCUCGCCAGCGGUGAGCAACGCCGUCACCUGUAGAACACAAAAACGCAAGCAACAGUCUGUUUUAGUUAAUUUUUAGAUCUGUUUUCCAUCAUUAUCUGCUUCCCUUUCUUCUUUCUCCGGUCUAUUCUUGGGGAUUCACCAUCUUCUUCUCUGCUCAGGUAGUCGGGCGGCGGCUGGUUGAUGGUGGAUCUAUGGCCGGAUGUGGACGGCGCUGCUGGAGGAAGGCGUUGCUGCCUGAUUGUCGGUUGCGGUUGGUGCUGGACCUGUGGGGGCUGCCGUUGAAGGGGCUGGAAGUCAGAUCGUCUGAGAGAGAGGAGUGGUGGUUGAUUCUCCGUACCUGGCGAGAAGAAAAGGAAGUCUGAUCUGGGAGGAUCGGCCGGGGAAGCGGCUGAAGGAAGAAGAAAAACCGAAUCUAGAGGGGGGGAAACGGCGACCAGUUUUGAAAGGAAGCAGGUUCGGUUUUGGCCAGCGUUAUGAUCACGAUCGGUGAUGGGGUUCGGUGAGGAGGGGAAGAUCGGCUGUGGAGUGUGGUGGUGAGCGGCUGAAAAAAUCAAAGAAAAGGGGGCUCUGGUGAGGCCAAGAAGGAAAAAUUGAUUCGCCGGCUGUAAAAGGGAGAACCGGUUUUGGUUUGGGUGUGUCUGUGUUUGGUGCCAUGUCAUGUGCUCAGUAGUCCUUCGUGACAUGAAUAACCUCUGCAGUCUAGGUGUGAUCGGGAAAUAUCUAAGUUUUUCCCCUGCCAGUUCUGGGUUUGUAACGGGAAUACCCGCAUGUCAUGCACUCGGUCAUCUCAGCAUUUUCAAGGUAGUAUAACAUGUAGAAGUUAGGGCACAUGUCAAUUUUAUGGUAUCCUAAACCAAGGGGUUUCAUCAUGGACUUCGCAACAUAGAAGUUCUCUUUCAGCCUGUUCACUUCAGGUAAAAUGCUUCUUGCCCAAUCAAUAAUUUUUUCAUACCCGGCCUCACUCAGCCCGUGAUCUGACUUGAUGGUGAACACCUGUGCCACGGGCGACAAUUUACUGUGGUUUGUGCAGCCAUCCCAUAAUGGUUCGUCAGAAUCUUUCAACAAAUCAAAAAACCUAGCUGCCUCUGCAUUAGGUUCUUUUUCUACGAUUGGACAUUGAUUGACAUUACCUUGAUUCAUUCUCAUUGCAUCCAUAACCACAUUUCUGUAAGGAUUAGUGUUGUCAUUUCGCUUCAUGCACGUUGCUAGCACUAGAAGUUGACCCAACCACCGUUUCUCUCAUUCUCCUAUUACUAACAAAUACCUCUCCAUGUGCAUACCAACACUGGUAAUCCUCAAACCCUUUGUGUAGAAGAUGCAUCAUUACAACAUCUGGAUGCAGAUACUUUUUAUUUUGACACUUCCUGCAUGGACACCUAAUACCGCCUCCAGUAAAAUUUCUGGGAAUAGAUGUUGCGAAAUUAAUAAAACCCUGAACCCCGUUACAAUAAUCCAUCCUCCGCAAUCCUUGGGUGAAUCUAGAUACAUCCAUGAACGAUCAUCCAUGACUUCUAUCGAACCUCUAUAAAAUUAUGAUGACAUCAUGUAUUAAUUAACUAAGUUAGGUAAAUAAACUUGCAAAAAUAUUACUUUACCUCGAGAUUAUCCAACAAACCAAUCACAACUUCUCAUAAAUAUUAAAUAUUCAUUAUCAUUUAUCAACGUCCAUACAAAUUAAUAUAUAUAAAUUAACAGAAAUUACCACUCUGCAAUACCAUCGAUAAAACUUAAAAAGGACCCAUUAAGCAAGCUAUUAAUUAUUUCAAAACAGAACAUGUAAUUCGGUAAUUCCACAAAGUUUUAACAAUUUACAAACAAAUACAAUCUUACAAAAUCUAAAACAAACCAUAACAGGUAUAAAAUUAUACAUUCAUAUACUACAAGUUUGUUUGAGAAAUAACAAUAAAACAUGUACAUCUACUAACAAAAAUACAUAUACUAAAAAACAAUAAAAUUGACAUUUAAAUGUUAAAAUUUAAAUAGAUAGAAUUACUUACAAAAAUUGAUAAAAUCCGUCGGUAAAUCAGAACACGGAUGUUGUGACCACAAAAUUUCAAGAAAUACAACUUGUUGUGUUGAGAUGAGCAAGAUUUUUAUUUGGGGGCAAGGGGGGGCUGAUUAUUUGCAGAUGGGGAGAGUUAGGAUUAGGAAGAAAAAGGAGAUAUGGGGAAGGAGAGUGUCGACAGAGUGGCCAUAUAUUUACUUUUUCCGACGGCCUCAUCGACGGAAUAACACCGUCGGUGACUCCGUAGGUCAUUCCGACGGGAAAUCGACACGUCACCGCACGAACCUGCUUUUCAAAUCCCUCGGUGAUUCCGUCGGUAUUUUUUAUGGUGCAACGGUCGCGUCACCCAUACGGAUCUGCCGUUUCAAUUCUGUCGGUGAUUCCGUUGGUAUUUUGAAGUCCCAUGACACGUACUUGUCAACCAUUUUGAAUCCGUCGGUGAUUCUGUCGGAAAAAUCACCCGCCAAACCUCCACGUCAGCUACCCGCCCUUUUUUCAUUAAUUUUGAUUAUUCUGUCCGUAAUUCGGUCGGUAAUUACCAACCAAAUGACGGACAGAAUAAUUCCAUCGGUAAUUUCGACCGAAAAAUACCGACAAAAAUAUUCCUCGGGGAUUCCGUUGAUAUUAAGCGAAUUUCUGGUAGUGAUUUGAGCAACUCUGAAACAUGAAGCUAGUCAAUAGGCGUCUAUAAGUUGUACAGAGAUUUUACAAUAGAAACUAUUCAAGUAAGAUUUUGGUGCAAUCAGUAUUCUAUAUGCACGAACAAAUUUGGGGCUUCACUGUACUACCUCAGAUACUCUCAAAAAAUGCUUCUUGGAAUUCGGAAGUUUAGACGAUCAUCGGUUAACAUGUCUGGUGUUGGUGCUUCAUGAAAUGAUGUUACCGUUUCUCUUUCUGAACGUUAUUCCAGGUUGGAAAUUCAAGUAAUUAGUUCAAAUCCUAGAAGAUGAGUGGUGGCUUAGAAUGCUGUGAAAAAAUCGUUCCCCUGUUCAUUUUUCAAAUUAGAAAAGACAUAACUUUUUGCUUGAACUUCUAGAAUAUAAAAAAAUCUUACUUUUAUAUCUAGACACUUUCCAUCUAUGAUCUUUAAAUCUGAAGACAUAUCAUCUGGUUUUAAGAAAGUGCUAUUAACAUACCAAACUUUAUUAGAUUGUUGUUGUGCACUUAGGAAGAAAUAAAAUACUUGUCCUCUAUUGUUUUCAAUAGCAUGAUCAGCUUCAUAGUUUUCUACGUUGUCUUUUUACUAGAAGUACCUUCGUGAAUGUUGGGAAUUUCUGUCUUUUGCAUCUAUACCAGCACUCUUUUACUUAGUGUCCACCUCAUUUUCAAGUUCAUGUCGCUGGAUCCAGCGGUCAAGAGAAAAUCAUGUCAUUGACACUAAUUUAGACCAUCAAAAUGAUUGAUAUUUGUGUUAAAUGGUUCCUUUUAACUGAGAGAAUUCAUAUUAGGUGUUUUUCUUACCUUUAAAGUUUGUGAAAAAACAAAUAUUAUCUCAAGCUGAUUUUUGGUUUCAUGUUCAUUUCUAUUUUUUAGAGGGUUUGUUGGUUUUUUAGGCUAAAAAUAUGUUUAUCAUGGUUCUUAAGGUUUUUUAUAGGUGUUUUGGGUCAAAAUGAGUUUUGAGUAAAAAAACUUAAGCCUUGAUUUUUCAACCACUACAGUGGUUGGAAUCCGGAUAAGAUCAGACGACGCGUUGUCUGUCUCAAUAGGCAACGCAUCAUCUGAUUGUUUUAAAAAAAUAGAGGUGGACGACAUGUCAUCUGCUCUAAGUGCAGCGAAAAAAAUGGGUCCAGUUAGGUGAGCCCUAAUGAAAUGGGCCAGGCCAGGCAACACUUGACCGUUUUUUCCCUUAUUUUUUUCAAUUCAUCCUUAUUUUUAUAUGUUUUUUUGUAAAAUAAAAAAAUAUUUAUAUUUAGAUUAAUACCUCUUUUCUUUUUGUAUUUUGUUCAGAAAGUCUUUUAAAUGAUGAUUAUUUUUUUGUUAUGUUUUUAAUUUUUGAAGAGGUCUUUCUGAUUCAUUUAUAUUUUUUUUAUCGUUUAUGUAGAAGAAUUAUAUUUUUGAAAAUAAAAAAUAUUUAUUUUCAAAUAAUAUUUCUACAGAGAGGUCGCUGGAUCCAGCGAUAAAAAAGAAAAUCAUGUCGUUGACACUAAUUUAGGCCACCAAAAUGAUUGAUAUUUGUGUUAAAUGGUUCCUUUUAACUGAGAGAGUUCAUAUUAGGUGUUUUUCUUACCUUUAAAGUUUGUGAAAAAACAAAUAUUAUCUCAAGCUGAUUUUUGGUUUCAUGUUCAUUUCUAUUUUUUAGAGGGUUUGUUGGUUUUUUAGGCUAUAAAUAAGUUUAUCAUGGUUCUUAAGGUUUUUUAUAGGUGUUUUGGGUCAAAAUGAGUUUUGAGUAAAAAAACUUAAGCCUUGAUUUUUCGACCACUACAGUGGUUGGAAUCCGGAUAAGAUCAGACGACGUGUUGUCUGUCUCAAUAGGCGACGCAUCAUCUGAUUUUUUUUUUAAAAUAGGGGUGGAUGACAUGUCAUCCGCUCUAAGUGCAGCGAAAAAAAUGGGUCUAGUUAGGCGAGCCCUAAUGAAAUGGGCCAGGCCAAGCAACACUUGACCGUUUUUUUCCUUAUUUUUUUCAAUUGAUCCUUAUUUUUAUAUGUUUUUGGUAAAAUAAAAAAAUAUUUAUAUUUAGAUUAAUACCUCUAUUCUUUUUUAUUUUGUUCAGAAAGUCUUUUAAAUGAUGAUUAUUUUUUUGUUAUGUUUUUAAUUUUUGAAAAGGUCUUUCUGAUUCAUUUAUAUUUUUUUUAUCGUUUAUGUAGAAGAAUUAUAUUUUUGAAAAUAAAAAAUAUUUAUUUUCAAAUAAUAUUUCUAAUACGUGUAGCCUUGCAUAAUGUUUUUUUUUUCUUUUUAUUUUAUUCAAUCAAUCUAAUGUGUUUGUCCAUUUCUUUUAUCAAUUGAUUGAAUAAAAAUACAUUAUAAUAAUCGUGUAAAUAUCCAGUCUUGCGAUAUUAAAUAUCUUGAUCCACACAUGUAUCUUGAUUUUUCAAGUUUUAUUUUUAAGUAUUGUUAAUGACUUAUUAUUAAUUUAUUAGCACACAUAGUUCUCGGUUUACUUGAUUACAUGUAUUUUUGAUCUACACUUCAAUUUUUUGAAUUAUAGAAAUGCAUUGAAAAAACUUAUUUAUAUAAUGUUUUUAUAGAAAAUAAAAAUAUCUGAUCCGUAACGGAGCGCGGUUCAUAUAACUAGUAAAUACUAAAUUGAAGUGAUAAAAAAUAACAUAAAGCACAAGUAAAUUACAUAUACAAGUGAUCAAUGAUAGAGGCUCCUCUAUGUAUAGAUAAUGGAGCAUUGAUUCUUAAGUUUAGGGAGACACAUGGUGCCCGUGUCAGUUUAUAUUGGAUCCUGUGCUUGUAAGUAAUGAUGGAUUCUCAUGAGUCCUACUAUUUAACAUGCUUAAGAAUAAAGUUGACAUGUUGGAUAAUUGAUUGAUCUCUUAGUUCAAGUAAUCUGAUUCAUUCUUCAUAGUUAAUGUAUCUAGUGACUUGAUAUAAAAAGCCUAGUGGGUUGGUAACUGGUAGCAUGUGAUGUCUAGUAAGCUAGGUGACAGGUAACUAGUACCUAUAAAAAGUCCCAUUUGAUGGACGUGGGGAUUCUCAGAUGGUAAAGUCGAUAACUUUAUGGAAAGAGAAAGUGCAAUAAUAUUUUAAAGAGAUAUACUCUGAAAAUAUAUACAGUUAUACACAAUAGAAAAUGAAGAGAUUGUGAACCUUUAACUUGAUGGAUUCAUGGUGUAUUUAUAGCUUAUAAAUUUUAUCCUUUUAUGGAGAGGAGGGGCUGAAGUGUAAUUUCAAUAUUGUGAUAUUUUGAGUUGUAUUCCACUCAAAAUAAUAUGUAUUUGAUCAAUAUAAAAUAUCAAAAGAUGUAAGUUGGAUUUUGAAAAAUUCUCUAGUGAGUAUUGGGCUCGGAUAAGGUGCCCGAGCCCAUUGGAGGUGAAAGCAGGUUCGGGAGUACUACCUGGACUCAAACACACUAAGCUCAGGCGUGAAAACCUGUUCCCAUGAUGGCUAUAGGGUGCAUGCCCAACACCAUUUGGGCGUACACCCUACAUAGGUACACAUACAUUGGGGUGUAUUGAGCGUACAUACACUGGGCAAAUGCCCAAUGCACUGCAUAAUGCCCAUGCAUUAGACGUUCAUACGCCCAUUAAGGAGCAUGGGCUUGGGCUCCUUGCCCGAGCCCAUGUUCUUGGUGCGUGGAUAGCCCGAGCUCAUGUUCCUUGGGUGGUUUUUGAGUUUUUUUUUUCUCUUUUAGAGGAUUUCUUUGGGUCUAUUUUGAGGGAUUUUUUUGGUCAAUUUUAUUUGUAUCCAUCAGAUUCUAUUAUCAAUUUAAAAAGUCUGAAGUGAUAGAUUAAAAAUAUAUUUUGUAUAUAAGUUCCUCAUUUUCCAUUCGUAACCCAACAACACAUCUUGAAACAUUAAACUGACUUAAACCUUCAAAUAGAGAAUUGAAUUUUAAUGAAAUUUAACCUUUUUUUACAAUAUCUGACACUAAGCAACGAAUAGCUUCUAUAAAGAGGAUUUUUUAGGGAUUUUUUUUUAAUUCUUUUCUAUUUAGUGUAAGAAGUUAAAUUUUAUGUUUAAUAUUUUUAUUUUUCAUAGUUUAUUUAGAAUUUUUAUUAAUUUUUUUAUUUUUAGGUUUCUAGUUUGUUUAGGUUAGUUUUUUAAGUUUAUUUAAGGAGUUGUAAACCUCUUAGUAAGGAAAACUACAUGAACAUAAAAUAUUCAGUAAUAAAAUUAUAAUUUAGGGUUUUGUGUGACAAUUUUAUUUAACUUCAAUGAUACUAGUGGUUAUGUCUUUAUAGCUUAUUGUUUUUAUGUUUGUGUUUCCGUUUAUGUUAGUUGGUAUUAAAGUUCAAUGAUACUAGUGGUUAUUCGCUUGCUAUGUGCUAGAAUAACAAUGAUUAGAAAAUGCUAUGUGCUAAAAUAACAACUCUAAAAUAAAGAAAAUGUAAUAAAAUUUCUAAAAAAACUAAGAGAAAUAAAAUUACUUCUUUCAUGAAUUCAAUCUUGAUUUAUAAUAGAACUCAUGUUUGGAGGCACUUAGGCCUUUUCAACACAGUUAUUUUAUAAUUAUCUAUUUAGAUGGAAGGCAAUUAAGUCUUUCACCAUAUAUAAAAUUAAUUUUAAAAAAAGAUGGUUGGUAAAUGCCACUCACAUGCCAGUAAGUAGGAGGUAUUCAUGUUUUUUAGGCGAUACAUAUGGCACCUUACAAUGGUCAAAUGUCGUUGUUCGCUACAGUGUGUAAAGUAGAGCAUCAUCAUUUUCAAAGUGAUAGGGCACAUAUUCACAAUGGAGGUGAGGUUAAGCUCUGAUGAAUCUUUUUUUUCUUCUUUUUCUUUUCUCUCUCCUAGCCUCAAAAUUUUCACUAGCCCUUUAAAAAAUUAAUUGUGUCAUCCAGUUUGGUCUUUAUUCUUUUGAUUGCUAUUUGUUUUUUCAAUUUUAUUCCUCAUCAUUUUAUCUUGUUUAAUUUUUGUGUCCAAUUUUGGUCCUCAUGCUUUGAUUGCUAUUUUUUUAAUCAUUUUCUUAAUUUAUUUUAAAUUUUAAUUUAGUCCCUCAUUGUUUUAUUUCAUUUAAUUUUUAUGCCAAAUUUAAUCUUUAUGUUUUUUAUUGCUAUUUGUUUUGUUUAUCUAAUUUUGGAUGAUUAGGGAUUUUUCUUGGUAUUUUUUAGAGUUUGCCUUAAAUGGUUUAAUCUUGAUCUCAUAACUCAAGUCACUAGUUUUGAGAAUUAGCCCGAUUUAACUUCAAUAUUUUUUAUGCCGUUUUCUUAAAAUUGAUUAUUUUUUAAUUUUAUCAUUUCAUUUUAGGUUAUUGGAUCUUGAGUUUCAUGGUUUUUUCCACUUUUCUUUUUCUAUUUUAUCCUAGGUCAUGGGUUUGUUGGGUGAACCCAGAUUCAUUCAAGUUUUAAUUUUUAUUCAGUCUUGAGUUUCAUGGUUUUUAUUUAAUUUUUUUAUUUCAUCAUUCGACAUUGAGUUAUUGGGUCAUUUGAAAUUCAUUAUUAUGCCUUAAGCUUUGUGAUUUUAUUUUUUUUUCAUUUUUCUUUUUGUGGGGUUAACCUAGGUUGACUUCGGAUUUUUUUGGUAUUUCUUUUAUUUUUCUUUGAUCUUUUUUUCUAGGUCAUUUUUAUUUUGAAUAAUUUUUUAUCCCGAUCACAUUAUGUGGAUUGCGAGUUAGUUGAGUGAAUCUUAGCUAUCUCAAUUUGUUUUACGUUGCUUUUUUUUAAUGAUUUUUUUAUUUCAAUUUAAUUCUUUGACAUUAGAUUGUUGGGUCAUGAUCUUAGUGAUUUUUUCCACUUUCCUUUAUAUGAAGUUGGCCCAAGUUACAAGUUAAUCAAAUUAACCCGGUUUAUAUGAGUGGGGCACAAGUUACAAGUUAAUCAAAUUAACUCGGGUGGACUCAAUUGUUUUCUUGACAUUGACUUCGAUCUUUUUAUUUAAGUUUAUUUUUUAAUUUAUUUUUUUUAUUUUGAUCUCAUAUUGAGGGUAGUGGGUAGUUAGGUGAGCCCAGGUUGACUCGUGUUGAUGUGAAUCUCGUGAUCACGUAGUCACGCAACCCACAAUCAAAAUUAAGAUCUAAUCCCGGAAAGCCGAAAUAGAUCUGAUAGGAGUCUGACACAAUGGAAACUUGCCCCAAGGCACCAACACUAUUGGAAUGAGUAGAAUGACGCCACGAAGCCAAUUAAUCUUCGAUAAAUCAGAUUCAAUUCGUUCAAGAACUAAAGAAUGCAAGAAUCACUCUCACACAUUAAAACUGAAAAAUUCAGAAGUAAUAAUCAUCAAAGCUCCCAAAAUUUUGGCUUGCAUGAGUUUAAAUAGUUCUUGAAAAAUUAACCCUAAUGGACCCCUUAUAUGGACUUAUAUGAGGUCCACUCAAAACUGAUGCAAAAUCCUAAACUGAAAAGCCCAUAACUUAAUCCAAACAAGCCUUGGAUCCUAGCUGAAAACAAAGUAUUAAUUAAGCUCAAACAUAAAAGAAAAUAAUAAAAAUAACUAACUUGUCAUUAAAUACCACCAGCCCUUCUUUCUUUGUGUAGUUAGGAUGAAUAAGGGAAUCCUUAUAAGAAAAUUAUUCUAAAACAUUAAUGAAUCAUUGCCACACUUGGAGAAUAUUAUAUUGCAGCUCAUUAAAGAUCCUUAAGGAACUAGGAAAUUCCCAAAACAAGCUCCCACAUCCUUGUAGGAAAAUGAUCCUUGCUGAACAGGAAGUCCACAAGUUAAAAGGAAGUAAAUAAUAGAAUUCGCAUAACCUGUUCGGACCUAUAUUGCAAGUCUUUUCCGAACAUGGAUUCUUCUAAAAAUGUACCCCAACAUAGAAAAACAUUUUUGAAAUCUUCUAGUAAAGUUUCAGCUCGAUCCAACGGUUGGAUUUGAAGUUAUGCUCAAUAAUGUAAAACUGAACGGUAGAAACUUUUACGCCAAAAUCCAAAUCUGACAUUGCUUGGUUCGUAUCACAAGGCUGAACUGUAUCACGUGUUUUUUCUUCGAUGUUUUUAUUUUUAAAUUUUAUUUUUCAAGUUUUAUCUUUUGAUAUUAGGUUAUUGGGUUUUACUUAAAGGAUAAAGGGGGGGUUCAUUGGAAUCUAAAAGUAAGUUUGACAUAUUCAUGAUGAAUAAAAGUACAAAAGUAGAUUAAUUGAAAUAUUAUUAGUUUAAUUAUAUAAAUAUUAUGUAAAGUUCGAUGUCAUUUAUCCACACACAAAAACAAAUUGCAAUAUUAACCCGGAGGUAAGAAGUCUAGGGUAUCUUGAGAAGAGUGAUCAUGGAUCCAAGGUUAAUUUUGAGAAUUUGUUUCAAAGAUGUAAGUAGAGAAAAUAACUUUUUGAUUGGGAUAAAUAUAAUAUUGAAAUUAAAAUUUUGAUAAUUCUAGUUUUUUUGUGAAUCGGAAUCAAAUACCAAAAUUUGAUAAGGAUGAUGAAAAUGAUGGUAAAGAAAAAGAUUUAAAUGCAAAAUUUUUAAUUAGUGAUAUCCACGAGAAGAUAACAAAAAUAGAUGUGGUUACGAUGCAUAGCGUGAAGGAUGUGUGUUUGAGAAAAAAAAUUAGAAUUAAUGAGGUGAAAGCUGAUGCUAUUGCAAUCCAGCUCAUGCAAGACUUCCAAGUCGUUGGCAGUAUCCAAUUCGAAUAUUAUAGACUUCGUCUAAGGUAGUUUACGAAGAAAGUACCCGUAAGACAUGGUUAUAAUAAAAAGUCGUUGGCAGUAUCCAAUCGAAUAUUAUAGACUUCGUCUACGGUAGUUUACAAAGAAAGUACCCAUAAGCAUGAUUACAAUAAAAAGUAUACAUUUCCUGAAAAAAAGAAAUGAAAAACACUACAAAGCUGAGAAAGGCAGACAAUAUCAAUUGUCAAAAUCUAAGGAUACUCAAAUGAGUUUCGGAAGGAAAACCUGAAAAUGUACGAGAGAACACAACCCCAUCAUUGAAGCUGCUAUUUAUAUAUAUAUAUAUAGACAUGAUCUAAUGCUAGCAAGCUGCGAAUCAUAUAUUUUAAGCAGCACACAUUGAGAAAUGAUUUCAGUCUCAUCUUGCCUUUGGGUCAAUUAUUUUAGAAAACACACCCCUUGCUCUUUGAUCUGGAUCACUUUGGGUGACACUUUCACGAGUGCUGAUAAGCCACGAUCUGAAGAAUCUCAAAGUCCACGUCAUUCUAAGAGGAUCCAUAAACCAAAUCCCAAAUAUCUGGGAUGAGCUGAUCGUGAGUUAAUGCAUGCAUAACGGAAGAAGCCAUUAAACAGGGGUCGUGGCUAUCAAGGAGUAAUGGAAGGAGGGGUUACACCCGUUAUAUCACCAUUUAUGGUCAUCAGUUAUAUCUUAAUUAAUUCCAAGUUAUUAGUAGCUUUAUUGUUCCCUUUGUAUUUCAGUUUUAUUUGUAAUUCACUUUGGCUAUUUAAGCAGCUAAAGUUUUAAUAAGAAGAUAUAAUUUCAGUAAAAAAGUGUGGUUUAGUUCUCACCCGAAGAGAACCUUUAUAAUUUGUGCUGGGACCUAACAUUGGUAUCAGAGCACGUUAUGGGAACCAACAAGGAGCGUAUUGAGCACCUGGAAUCUGGACUUGGGAUAGUUCAAGAUGGUCUUCAGAGAAUGGAGUUGGGAGUGAAUGAUAAACUCCAACAUUUGGAAGACACUCUUACUCGACUUGCCAAUAUGUUGAGGCAAAUCAAGAGAAUCCUAACCGCGACAAUUAUCAUAGAGAAGGCAACAAUGGGGGUCGGCAGAUUAUCUCCUCCAAAACAGCAAAACUGGACUUCCACGAUUUUCAGGGGAUGACCCAACCGAAUGGUUCAACCGUGUGGAACAAUUCUUUGAAUACUUGGGCACAGUUGAAAACCAAAAGGUAGCCAUGGCUGCUUACCAUCUUGAAGGGGAGGCCAACCAGUGGUGGCAAUGGCUUCAAAGGACGUUGCAGGGAGAAGGGCAAGUGAUUUCAUGGGCAAAUUUCAAGAAGAGUUAUGGGCUCGUUUCGGACCAUCAGGCUGUGAAGAUUUUGAUGAAGCUCUCUCAAAAAUCAAACAGGAGGGACAUUGAGGGAUUACCAACGGGAGUUCGAGAAGCUUGGAAAUAAGGUACAAGGUUGGACACAGAAAGCAUUAGUGGGAACAUUCAUGGGGGUCUGAAGACAGAAAUUUCUGAAGGGAUUCGGAUGUUUAACCACAAUCCCUCAAGGAGGUCAUUAAUCUAGCAAGAAUGAGAGAUGAGCAACUUACAAGACAGAGGCGGUUCUACGACCAGCACCUCCAAAAAUUCCUCUAGCUCUUCCACCACCCAAUCGGGUAACUCCUGCUAGUCGGUCUACUCCGCUUAGGCGUUUGUCAUGGGAGGAGAUGCAAAGAAGAAGAGUGCAAGGCCUUUGUUUCAAUUGUAAUGAAAGGUUUACAGCCGGGCACAAAUGUCAACAACCUCAGCUACUACUCUUGGAAGGUUACAUAGAUGCUGGUAAUAUGUCCUAUGAAGAUAUUACUUAUCCACAAACCAGGGGGUUUGUACAAGGAGAAGAUACAGUAGAGGCAUGCGAACCAGAAUUGGAACCUGAAAUCACUCUGCAUGCAUUAACAGGGUGGACAGCCCCAAGAACAAUGCGAGUGACAGCGAAGGUGGGCUCUCAUACGGUGAUGGUGUUGAUAGACAGUGGAUCCACACACAACUUCAUCAGUGAUCGCUUAGCAAACACACUACAUCUACCAGUGAAACCAACCAAGUCGUUCACUGUUCGGGUUGCUAAUGGCCAGCGUCUACAUUGCCAAGGACAAUUUGAUAAGGUACCCGUGAAUUUACAAGGCACUGAAUUUUAUCUCACACUCUUCUCUCUGCCAUUAUCAGGGCUUGAUCUAGUGUUGGGCAUCCAAUGGUUAGAAUUGUUGGGAUCAGUGGUUUGUAACUGGAAAGACUUAACUAUGGACUUCAUUUGGAAUAAUCAAGCUCGAAGGUUGCAAGGAGUGGGGAGCAAUCUAUUCAAGAGGCUACUUUAAAACAAGUCUCAAAAGAUUGUCGACAGCAACAGAUGUUAUUUGCAGUAUGUUUCCUUUCAACCACGAGGACAAAAUUCUGAAGGCAGACUAUGGCAAUCAAGACAUACAGCAGUGAUAAAGGAGUAUCAGGAUGUAUUCCAAGAACCCUCAUGCUUACCACCUGUGCGGAGGUGACCAUUGCAUUGCACUUAAGGAGGGCACUGAGCCGGUUAAUGUACGACCCUACGAUAUGCUCACUUUCAGAAAGAAGAAAUUGAAAAGCAAGUGCAGGAGAUGCUGAAAUCAGGACAUAUACGUACUAGCACCAGUCCUUUUUCUUCACCAGUGUACUCGUACGAAAAAAAUGGUAGUUGGAGAUUUUGCACGGAUUAUCGCGCACUAAAUAAUGCAACUAUCAAGGAUCGGUUCCCCAUUCCAACCGUGGAGGAUAUGCUUGACGAAUUAUAUGGAGCGGCAUAUUUUACGAAACUGGAUUUACGAGCUGGAUAUCACCAAGUAAGGGUCAAUCCUUCUGAUAUUUCUAAGACUGCUUUUCGUACUCAUAAUGGCCAUUAUGAAUACCUCGUUAUGCCUUUUGGCCUAUGUAAUGCACCUUCCACAUUUCAGGCCAUCAUGAACACUAUUUUUCGACCUCACCUUCGAAAAUUCAUUCUAGUUUUCUUCGAUGAUAUCCUUAUCUAUAGUACUACAUGGGACAAACAUGUGGAACACAUUGCACAAACUCUGCAGAUUUUAAGACAACAUCAGUUUUUUGCUAAAGCUAGCAAAUGUGUUAUCGGCCAACAAGAAUUGGAGUAUCUGGGGCAUAUCAUUACACCGCAAGGAGUGAAAGUUGAUGACCAAAAGAUUACAGCCAUGCUUGCAUGGCCUCGACCUACUAAUAUUUCUGAAUUGCGUGGUUUUUUAGGAUUAACAGGUUAUUACAGGAAGUUCGUCCAAAAUUACGGCAUCAUUGCUCGACCCCUUACCAAUCUAUUAAAGAAGGGGAAAUUUGGAUGGCAUGAUGAGGCAGAGGCAGCCUUCUCAGCUCUCAAGCAAGCCAUGACAACCACUCCCACUUUAGCCAUGCCUAAUUUCAAUGAUUCAUUCACAAUUGAAACAGAUGCUUCAGGAGAUGGUAUUGGUGCGGUUCUAACACAGCAAGGCAAACCCAUCGCCUACAUGAGUCGGGCACUGGGAGUCACAAAAAAAUCCUGGUCCACCUACGCCAGAGAAAUGCUUGCAAUUGUAGAAGCCAUCCGUUUAUGGCGUCCUUAUAUACUGGGAAGAAAAUUCUUCAUUGAAACCGACCAGCGUAGCUUGAAGUAUCUACUGGAUCAACGAAUAGCAACACCAGAACAGCAAAAGUGGGUAGCCAAACUACUGGGUUAUGACUAUGAAAUUCGUUAUCGUCCAGGCCGCGAAAACUCAGCUGCAGAUGCACUCUCCCGCAGGCCAAACAGCCCCACACUUCAUCAUUUGCACGUGGCCACCGUAACCUUGUGGGAUGAAAUCAAAGAAGCAUACAUUGGGAAUAAAUACAUUCAGUCAGUAGAGCGGGUAGCCAAGGCUCAACCCAAUGGACCAUAUUCACAACGCCAAGGAUUGUGGCUAUUCAAGCACAGAGUGAUAAUUCCUACAUGUGAACUGCUACGCACCAAGUUAUUGUAUGAAGCACACAAUACCAAGAUUGGCGGACACUCUGGAGUCUUACGAACAGUCAAACGACUAGCUCAUCAAUUUUACUGGCCUAAGAUGCAACAAGAUGUCCAAGAAUAUGUCCGACGCUGUGAAGUAUGCCAAAGAAUGAAAUCAGACACUCUUUCCCCUGCUGGACUCCUACAGCCUUUACCCGUUCCGUGUCAAGUUUGGGAUGAUAUUACUCUUGAUUUCGUUGAAGGAUUGCCAACCUCCCAUGGAAAAGAUACAAUCUUAGUAGUGGUUGACAGGUUAAGCAAAUUUGCCCAUUUCUUGCCCUUAUCCCAUCCAUUUACUACAAAAGGAGUAGCUGAAAGAUUUGUGGAAGGAAUUAUUAAGCUACAUGGCAUUCCUAAAUCAAUCAUUAGCGAUCGAGAUCCCAUCUUUAUCAGCCAAUUUUGGCAACAGUUAUUUCGCUUGUCAGGGACACAACUAAAACUCAGCUCUGCCUAUCAUCCACAAACAGACGGCCAAACCGAGGUGGUAAAUCGAUGUGUUGAACAAUAUCUUCGCUGCUUUGUUCAUCAAUGGCCGCGCAAGUGGAGCACCUAUAUUCCUUGGGCUGAGCUCUGGUAUAACACCACAUUCCAUGCCUCUACUAAAAUGACUCCAUUUCAGGCAUUGUAUGGUCGACUGCCUCCUCUCCUUCCCAAUUACCAGGGUGGUGAUGCGUCGGUGCAUGAGGUGGACAAGAAUCUCAUGUCUAGAGAUGAGUUACUAAGUCACCUAAAGACAAAUUUGGAGAAAUCCAGCAAUCGUAUGAAGCAGACAGCAGACAAAAAAAGAAGGGAGGUGACUUUUGCAGUAGGUGAUAUGGUGUUUCUCAAGUUACACCCCUAUCGACAACAAUCGGUUUUUAAACGUGUGCACCAAAAGCUUGCAAGUCGAUUUUACGGCCCUUAUCCAGUAGUUCAAAAAAUCGGCGCAGUUGCUUACAAACUUCAACUACCAGAGGGCAGUCGUAUUCACCCGGUCUUCCACGUCUCUCUACUCAAGAAAUAUGUGGGCGACCUAGUGGUGUCAUCUACAGAAUUACCACCAGUGAAUGAUGAAGGCCUAAUUAUACUGGAACCACAACAGAUUUUGGACACUCGCUGGGUCAAACAGGGAAACAAAUUUGAAGAGGAGAGCUUGAUUCAGUGGCAACGACUACCAGCAGAGGAGGCCACAUGGGAACUAACUAAGUCGUUGCUUGAGCAAUUUCCACACAUCAACCUUGAGGACAAGGUUUUGCUUGGUGGGGGAGGUAUUGAUAAGCCACGAUCUGAAGAAUCUCAAAGUCCACGUCAUUCUAAGAGGAUCCAUAAACCAAAUCCCAAAUAUCUGGGAUGAGCUGAUCGUGAGUUAAUGCAUGCAUAACGGAAGAAGCCAUUAAACAGGGGUCGUGGCUAUCAAGGAGUAAUGGAAGGAGGGGUUACACCCGUUAUAUCACCAUUUAUGGUCAUCAGUUAUAUCUUAAUUAAUUCCAAGUUAUUAGUAGCUUUAUUGUUCCCUUUGUAUUUCAGUUUUAUUUGUAAUUCACUUUGGCUAUUUAAGCAGCUAAAGUUUUAAUAAGAAAAGAUAUAUAAUUUCAGUAAAAAAGUGUGGUUUAGUUCUCACCCGAAGAGAACCUUUAUAAUAUUGUGAUGGGACCUAACAUUGGUAUCAGAGCACGUUAUGGGAACCAACAAGGAGCGUAUUGAGCACCUGGAAUCUGGACUUGGGAUAGUUCAAGAUGGUCUUCAGAGAAUGGAGUUGGGAGUGAAUGAUAAACUCCAACAUUUGGAAGACACUCUUACUCGACUUGCCAAUAUGUUGAGGGCAAAUCUACGAGAGAAACAAAAUGUACGAGAGAACACAACCCCAUCAUUGAAGCUGCUAUUUAUAUAUAUAUAUAUAGACAUGAUCUAAUGCUAGCAAGCUGCGAAUCAUAUAUUUUAAGCAGCACACAUUGAGAAAUGAUUUCAGUCUCAUCUUGCCUUUGGGUCAAUUAUUUCAGAAAACACACCCCUUGCUCUUUGAUCUGGAUCACUUUGGGUGACACUUUCACGAGUGCUAACAGUGCUCCUUGAAUGUGACUCCGCUCCACUAAACAUGUCAUCGUCAUCAGUGGUCAUGGCAUCUCGAUGUGGUGAAAAUGAGCUUUUAUUUUCCAUAUUGAUCCCUUCUACACUGUUGGCAUUUUUCUCAGCAGAUUGUUGAAGCUGCAAUGCAAAUUCAAGGCCCCAAACGACAUCACCCAUUUUAGGGCGUUCAAUUCCUUGACCAUGUAAGCAACUGUUAGCAAUCUCUGCGAACUUAUUUAAAGAGACGGGGGCAACCUCGCCCUUUAAAUGUGGAUCCACGAUCUGAUCAAGGGUUCCUCUUUGGUAACAUUUUCGUGCCCAGUCAGCUAAGCUUGCUUGAUCUUUCGGUGAACUUGGAAUCACUGGUGGCCUUGCACAUAGCACCUCAAACAAAACCACACCGAAUGAAUAAACAUCAGAUUUUCUGUCAGGUGUUGCCUACGGUAGUACUCUGGAUCCACAUAUCCAAUGCUACCUCUAACUACAGUGCUAACAUGGGUUUGGGAUGUACUAGUGGGACCCAAUCUGGACAGCCCAAAAUCUGAAACCUUAGCCACCCAAUUCUCAUCUAACAAUAUGUUUGUUGACUUCACAUCACGGUGAAUGAUUGUGUGCUUUGCUCCUGAAUGAAGAUAAUGCAACCCUUUUGCAGCACCGAUGCAUAUUUCUAGCCUUUGCUUCCAUGGAAGAGGAGAGUUCUUUGUUUUGUAUAGAUGUUCUCUAAGAGUGCCUCUUGACAUGUAAUCGUAUACAAGGAUCAUCUCGCCAUGAUCAUCACAGUAUCCAAUCAGCGACACUAGAUGGAGGUGGCGCAGAUUGGAUAACAUCUCAAUCUCUGUCUGGAACUCACGUGUCCCUUGCUUUGAUGAUGAAUCUAGUCGUUUGAUGGCUACUGCACCGUAUUCAAUGUAUCCUUUAUACACAGUACCAAAUCCCCCUGAACCAAUAAUAUUUUGAUCAUCAAAGUGUCCUGUUGCUUCGUUGAUUUCGAAAAAUGUAAACCGUCGGCAAAGAUCAGUAGGAGUGAUGAAGAGAUUGUAGUCGUGGACCUAGAUGUUUGUGAUAUUAGAGUCCAGGAGGAUUUUUCCUCACUCUUGCUAGGGUCCUUGACUCGCUUCUGCUUGAAAGCAAAGAAAUAAAGAAUAAGAGAGCAAGCAAACACUGCACCUAUGGAACCUCCAACGAUGGCUAUAACCGUAAGUAUUGAUGAUCUUUUGCCCGUUCUUCUGUCUUGUAGACUUGGAUGUUGUUCUGCUGGUGGAGGAGCCACUGUUGGCUCAGGGUUGAAUCCUGCAAGAUUUCCGUCUGUUGUAUUCAGCUUGAAUAUUUCCAAGCCAUUCAAGAUUGCAUCAGCAUAAGUAGGUUUCAGUUCCAUGUUAGGGUGUAGUUCGAGCCACAAGCCCUGCUUGCUCUGGCUCCCUGAGGGACCAGCACGAUGUAGUCUUUGUAAACUGGAAUGCCGUUGCCACCGCUCAUAUGGAUCACAUCUGCAUCAUGGCUGUGCUAUUUGAUUGUUGAUGAAUAUUAAAAAUACCUGUUGAUUUUCAGUUUUGAACUCCAUUCGAGUCUCACAAAAGUGGAGUCUAAGGAGAUAAUUGAAACCAGCAUCAACUGGGAAGAUCCAUGUGAGAUUGUAAUUCAUGUUAAGAAGUGGUUCAGGACCCAUAGAACGCAUAGUACUAUAUACCAUAACAGGUGCGGAGUAAGCUGGCGUUUUGGUUGUGUACUCUAUCUUGACGCCUGAGUGAUAUGGAGUGUUUCCAGCUUUUCCAAAGAGAUACCCUGAAUCUUGAUGCCAUGUCCUGUACAUUCCAGUCUUGUCUCCAGUGCUGCUGAUAUCUUGCCCCCCAACAUUCAGUCGAUAAACUGUCUCAAGCGCAGUUGUGUUACCCAGAUAGAAGGGGGCGGUGCCCACAUAGGUCGGUGGAUUAUCAUCGCCACGAGCAUAGAAGCUGUCUGGCAUGGAAACGAUUUCGAUACCAUUAACGAAGGCAAAAGAUGCUGGAGACGGAAUGAAGGUUAAUUCAAGCUUCUGGUUGUCCCACACGGUGAUGAUGAACUCUUUGGUGAAGUAGUCAACUGGAGGUCUUAUAGCAGAAACUGUAAGAGAGGCACUAAAGUUGUUUAGUAGCUUGUAGUUGUUGGCACUAAGCGAAAAAUAGGAUUUGGAUAUAUCAAGAUUUGAGUAAGAAGAUGGAUAAAAGUAGAGACGCACAAAUUUUGGGCCAGGCAAGACUGGAAUUGUGUAAGUGAAUUUAGAGUGAAGAAUACGGGCUGUCAUGUAUGGGACUUGGUCGACAGAGGGGUCUUGAGUGGAGGCUUCAAACACAGAUGAGGCUUCUGGGGGGUUAGAGGCAGCAAACUUAGACUGGGAAUCACCAUCCCAACUGCGACCAUCUGGAGAUGACAAAUUAGAGGAUGCACCACAGUUAAGGAGUAUUAGAUCAGUGGGGCUGUAUGGCAGCAAGUAAUCUUCAGUAGCAGUAGCAUAGAGGAAGAGAUGGAGGGGAGGGAGAAGGUAGAGAGCGAUGAAGAUGGACAUUAUGCUAUUUCUUUUGUGGAAUAAGUUGGAGUAAGAAAACCUAUGCAUUAAAUGCAAAGAUUUUGAUUUAAGGGAAGAUGAUCAGUGGCGUUUUUGUCUCCAUACAGUAUUUUUGCUCAGUUGAGAAUAAUCCAAUAAUAUAUUUGAAGCCCGGGGAGUUGAAAAUUCGACGAUAUGGCUAAUGGGACAUAUUGGUCGCUGUACUUAGUCAGCUUUGGAUGGCUGCUUUCCAUUGUGUGGUUCUGAAUUCUGCAAUAAAGACGCCAUGAAUAGUCUAUGAAACUUAUUUUUCUUUUCUUUUUUCCUUAACUUUUUCAUUGUUGGAUUAAGAUCACACACACCACUUAAUUUCUUAUUUGAUUAAUAUUCUUAACGAGGUUGAAUGUAUUUCAGGUUGGUGUUCACCAUAACAAAUGCAGUAAUCACAGCUCCGAGAUUAGGAUUCAAAAGGUGCAAAGCUUCUUUUUCCUUAUGGCCACCGCCUUGAUACAAUGAUUGUCGCAAGUGCAAGGUCUAUAUAAUCCUCACCGAUGCCUUCUGUCCAAUACACACACAUCCUCAUUAUAGGCUGGCCUUGCUUCAGUCUUCAAUAAGAAACAUCGUUCUUGUUCCUCAUGAGUAGCCCUUUCACUCGCCUCAGAUCCAUGAAGUCUCAUUUACUCCUUUCUAUUAUUCUUCUUCAAUGCUGUCUUACUGAUAAAAUGCUCUUGUUUUUGGUGUUAUAUAUUCUUCAAUGCUGUCUUACUGAUAAAAUGCUCAAAUGAGACUUCAUGGAUCUGAGGCGAGUGAAAGGGCUACUCAUGAGGAACAAGAACGAUGUUUCUUAUUGAAGACUGAAGUAUAUAUAUAUAUAUAUAUAUAUAUAUAUAAAAUUUUACACAGGCUCAAAGGAUCGACCUAUUUCUUUUUGGUUCAUGAGUGUGCCUUUUUGGGCUGAGUUUAAAACCAAAAAUCUUCUCAUCUGGUAUAGUAAUCGCUUAAUUACUACAAAACUUGGUGGUAAUGAGAAAUCUUUCUUCCCAUUAAUCGAAGAAUAAUGGAUUUACCUCUCGACAUACUUGGUGCCGAAUAAAAUCAUUAGCACUAGUGAAGAAGAGGCAAGCUGUCCUCUCUUCCCUGGAGAUGGCAAUUUGUUCUCUCUCAUCCUGUUAAGCUUGAUUUCCAUAAUUGAGGGGAAAUGAAUGGAGUUCUCGGUGGAUGAAAAAUAAUUGGAAUAAUAAAUGAAAUGAAAUUGUGUUUCAUUGUUGAAACAAUCAUGCUGAAAUCACUUCAAUCCAAGUCUCUACAUUGAAUAGGUCUAGCAAAUGUUCUUAUCUUGUACAAACAGGACACCUUAAGCAAACCUGUGAACAUUCCAAGAUCUUUUUUUCAACUUCAUAGCUUGCAAUAGAUUAAUGAGGAAGCUUCUCCAUUAAUUAGUGCACGAGAAAGACAAUCACUAGACAUCGUAUCGACAAAGCAAUUGCUUGCUAUUUUCUUCAAUUAUUAAUCAUCAUAAAGUACAUACAAAUUUUAUUGCUAUACUCAUCGGAAGCAUGAGUAGAAAGAAAGAAGAAAGAUUCAGACAGUCACCCUAGACGUAGAGCAAACUGAUCCCACCCAUCUUGGUGGAGCUCACAUAGACGGACUGGUUCACCUUGCGCUUUAUGGGUGGCUAUUCAAAUCGAAACCCACACAGACAGAUAAAGAACUGACCCCUUUGUCUCCUCUUCCUCGAUCAACUACCACGUUUGCACCGAUUGUAGUAAGUGCAGGGCCGAGUGUUAGGAUUGAUCGGUUUUGCACAGUCGCCAUAUAUUUGUGCAUUGCAAAUUGGUUGUCGUUCUAAACUAUCAUAGCUAAGAUAGUUACCCUGAGAGGCCAGUAGUCUCUGAUGCACUUCAGAUUCCAUAGAGAACUCCUCUUCAUUACCUUCACCGAUUGUGGCAUUGAAAAUGGGACUCGAGUUGCUUUCAAGAAAGGCAGCUGUAGAAGCAGAUGUGAUCACAAAAACCAGCAGGAUAGUUAAAGAGAGCCACCGGAGGAAUUCAAUACUUACGCUAGGCCUCAUCUCUUUCUGUCUGUACCCUUCUGUUACAGAGUUUGAAGAGCACUAAAUAGACGUCACUGCUAAGAAGGCUUCAAACUCUGGAUAUGGAGUGAAAGGCCAGCUUUUUUCCAUUGACUUGCUUUUUUGUGAAGACUUGGGUCUUCACAUGACUGUGAUUUUGACAUUGUGCGCUCUAAUUGCUUACAGCUGGCAAACUGGUUGGAUAAUGGUCCUUGCCAAUUCAAUCGUUUCCUCAUUGUUCGUUUGCAACCAUGAACAUUUAUUUUAGUGUUUGAUAGUGGUUUUUUAUAAUAUUUUUUAUUUAGAAAAAUAUUAAAAUAAUAUUUUUUAAAAUAUAUUUUUAAUAUCAAUAAUGCAAACACUCAUCAUGCAGCGUUUUCCGAGGGACAUCUAAUAGUUGUCGGAAACCAUGUGCGCGUCAAGUCCAUGGGCCAUCAGCUGAUGCUAAGUUUUGAAAAAAUUGCAAUUAUUUUUUUAUGGGAUCCUGCUAACAAACACUAGCAUUUCUCUUACUUUUAUGUAAUUAAAUGGUAGGGUAUAGCAGUUCUUACAAAGGGACCAUAGAAAUGUCUUUUGAACUGGUGCUAUUGGCAUACCCAUAAAUCUAUUGGCGUAACAUUUUGGAAAUGGAAUGUCAAGGUUUUUUCUUCUCUAACAUGAAAGCUUUCUCCUUUUUUUUUCGUUUAUUAAUAUUCAUAAAUUAAGAGAAAAUGUUGAUUUUUCAAUUGAAUAUACGUAAGGUAUGAAUUUGCUAUGCGUUUAGAGUACAUGAAAGACUUAUUUAUAUUAGGCUUUUUGAACUUUAAAACUAAUUAAAUUCUGCUUGAAGUUGAAAAUAUGUCAUGGAUGACGUGAUAACGUGAUAAGCACUUUUUGAAUAAUUGAAGGGGAUGGAUGUUUUGUUAAGGAUGACGUCAAUAUACACCCACACACUAUGAAGUUGAUUCAAAGAAUCAGGAUUAUAAUCUGGAUCUUCGUUAGUGAAUUUAUCCUCAUCAAAACUUGAUAUUUCGUACGAGGUUUCUUCGAGUGUUUCUUGUAUUCUGCCUUUGACCUUGAUGAUGCUAAGGUUUACUUGAAUUCGAUUUUAAGAGGUUAGAAAUGUAAAUUGUCUUUUUUAAGUUGGAGAUGAUAGGAAUUCUUGUAGCUAUGGAGUUUGUUGAGAUUGUAGCAAUAAGCUUGAGUUUCUCUGAAUUGGAUCCAUCAUUUGACUUUGAUGUAUCCCAUGAGAUCUGAAGAGUAACUAAUAUCUUUAUUUACAUCAUGCAUUGUAAUGAAAUUCCAAGAUAGCAUGAGACACCAAAGGUAGAGAUGAAAUUAUACAAAGAAACGGGAAUUGAAUUCGAAGGCAUUUUUACUAUAAACAAUUCCAAUUAUUGUGUGAUUUUUUAUGGGAGGAUUUCACUUAUAGAAGAAAAAUAUUUCCACCAAUUGUUUGAGAACCAAGUUGGUAAAUUUUUUGGACAAAUGUUUUAUCAAAAUGGAUGAACCAUAAAUGAUCAUGGUUUUAGAAAAAGAAAAUCAAACCAAGCUCGUUGAUAAUCAAAAUAAUUAUAUCUUUGAGAUUAGUAGUUUCAAGAAAAUCUUUCAAGGUGUAGGGACUUUGACUCAAUUAAGUCUUGAAAGGUUAAAACCUUUUAAAUUUUUAUUUUUGAAAAAAAUGGAUUAUUUACAUCUUCAUUAUGAGUCACUUCAGCAGAGUUAAUGUCAAACCAGAACAAACUCAUAAAAUUAUCUUGUUUUCAAUAGUUUUUCUAUAAUGAACUAAAAUUGAAAGGGGAAGAUAUAAAAAAUGAUCUUAUUUAGGUUUUCAUUGUAAAAUUAUUUUUUAAUUGGACAAAUAUGAAGAUUUAUAGUUUCUUGACUUGGAAGGUUUAAUAAGUUAAUUUUUUCAGGGAAGAUUUGGAGGGUAAUUAACACAAGUGGAAGCACAAGCAAAUACACAAUAACAAGUAGGGUAUAAAAGUUGUUACAAGGGACCAUAUAUAUUGUGUUUUGAACUGGUGCUAUUGGCAUACCCAUAAAUCUAUUGGAACAAUAUUUUGGAAAUAAAAUGUCAAAGUUUUUUUUUCUUCUUUAACAUGAAAACUUUCUUUUUUCCAUUUAUUAAUAUUCAUAAACCAGAGAGAAUGUGAUUUUUCAAUUGAAUAUAUAUAAGGUAUGAAUUUCCUAUGCCUUGAGAAUGCACCAGAGUGGUGGCCCGCGCGACACCACGGAUCGGACCAAACAUGUUUUUCAAUAUGAAAAAAAUCUUUAGGAGAUAGUUGGGUUUUUAAAAUAAAAAAAAAAUAGAUAAUAAUGUUAAACCUUGAUUAAUUUUAUAAUAUAAUAAAAAAAUUAAGCAACAAUAACAAAGAAAUAAAAAAUAAUUACAUACAAAACUGGAUUAACACACGAAACUCGUGACCUAACACAUGAGAUCAGGAUAACCCUAUAGGAAUAUGAUACCAGUAAAAAUCCAUUGUUGAAAAAGGACAUGGAAAAAAAAAUCAAAGGCAAUAAAAUAUUGAAGGAUGAAAUUAAGAAAAAAAGUUCAAAUAAAAAUAAAUCAAAAAAAUAAAAAUCAAAUCUAACAUAAAACAAAAUUAACUAAAAUAUUGAGAGAUACAAUUAAAAAAAACAAUUCAAUUAAGAGAAAGAUAUAAAAUAUUGAGGGAUACAAUUGAAAAGAUAAUUUAGUUAAGAGAAUAAUUAAAAAUCAAAAUAAAAAUAAUAGGGAUCAAAUCUAAAAUGUAAACAAACCAAAUGAGAAUUAAAUUGAAAGAAAAUUUUAAAUGCAUGCAUAAUCUAAAAUAAAUGAAAUAACAAUAAAAAAAAAGAAAUCAAAUCUAAAAGAAAAAUAAAUUGAAGUGCUAUAUAAAAUCUUACUUUUUGUUACCACACAAGCUCUCUAGAAAUUGAUCGGCAAUAUCACAAGGAUAAAAACACAAUUAUAAAAGCUAGAGCUUGGCUGUCAAACGAUACCUCAUGUGUUGUCUAAUCAAAACAAAAGUACUAACCCGUGACCGUAUAAAUUGCAUGUGCAACUGUUUUUUUUUUUAAAUAAAUUAAUAUAAUAUAUACCUAAAUACUAAAGUGCAUUUUAUCGAACUUGAUAAUCACAAAAAAACCAAAAACAAGAGACAAAAACAAAACCCCUUGACCAAGGGCAAAGACAAUUCAAAUGCAAGGACACUUCAGUUUUUCACUGUGCAUGUGAAAAGGAAUACUUGAAAGUGACCCUCUCCACUAGUCCAUUACUUUUUAUUUAGAAGGAUAUAAUGGUUAUUUUACCAUGAAAAUAAAAAAAAAAAAUUAAUAUACCCUACUUCCAAAGCCAGCAAAAUCAUUAUCUCACUAUUCCAAUCGACAUUAACAAUGAGUUUGGCUGUACAAUAAUAAACCUAUACUAAAAUGGGAGCUCUUUUAGUCUCUUCUAAUGAAAGACUUAUUUACAGGAGGCUUUUUUAACUUUAAAUCUAAUUAAAUUAUGCUUGAAGUUGAGAAUAUAUCUUGGAUAACGUGAUAUAUACACUUUUUUAAUAAUUGAAGUGGCUGAAUGUUUUGUCAAAUAUUAUUGAAUAAUUAAAUUAGGUGGAUUUUCAUAAAGGAUGACGUCCACAUAUAUAAAAGAUUCUUUUAUAUCCAUGUGUGUGUGUAACUCAGAAGAUUAGGACCAUAAUCUGGAUUUUCAUUAGCGAAUUCAUCCUCAUGAGAACUUGAUAUUUAUACAAGGCUUUUUGGAGUUUUUUCUUGUUCUGACUUUGAGCUUGAUGAUGCAAGGCUUUCUUGAAUUCGACUUUUAGAGGUGAGAAUUGUAAAUUGUCGUUCUUGAGAUGGAGUCGAUGGGGAAUGCUUGCAGCUAUGGAGUUUGAUGAGAUUGUAGCCGAGCAUGCACAACUUGAGAACAAGCUUGAGUUUUUCUGAAUUGGGUCCAUCGUUUGACUUCGAUUUUCCUCAUGAGAUCUAAAGAGUAACCAAUACCUUCAUCUACAUCAUUUAUUAUAAUGAAGUCCCAAGAUAGCAUGGGACACCAAAGGUUGAGAUGAAAUAAAAAGAGGCAUGAAUUGAAUUCAAAGGUAUUUUUGUUGUCAACAAUUCCUAUCUUUAUAUGAAUUUUUAGGGAGAAUCUUACUUAUUGAAGAAAAAUAUUACCACCAAUUGUUUGAGAACUAAGUUGGAAAAUUCUUUGGACAAUGUUUUAUCAAAAUGGAUGAAUGAUGAAUGGUCAUAGUUUUUUAGAAAAAGAAAUUAAACCAAGCUUGUUAAUAAUCAAAAUUACUGAUUGGUAGUUUUGAGAAAAUCUUUCAAGGUGCAGGGGUUUUGAUUCAUGUCUUGAAAGGUUAAAACCUUUUAAAUUUUUAUUUUUAUUUAAAAAAAAAAAAAACAGGAUUGUUUACAUCUUAAUUAUGAGUUAUUUCAACAAAGUUAAUGUCAACCAGAAUAAACUUAUAGAAUUGUCUUGUUUUCAACAUAUUUUCUAAAAUAAAUUGAAAUUGAGAGGGGGGAAUAUAAAGAAUGAUCUUAUUUGGGUCUUCAUUGUAAAAUUAUUUUUUAAUUGGACAAAUAUGAAGAUAAUAGUUUCUUGACUUGAAAGGGUUAAUGCAUUUUUUAGGGAGGAUUUAGAGAGUAAUUAACAUAAGUGGAAGUACAGCAAAAAACCAAUAGCAAGAGAAAGAAAUAAUAGUUGAAAGAGGAUGAGUAAAAGAAUCCUAAUUUAUAGUUUUAUUGAUGAAGAGAAAAAUCCACUAUUUUUUUUUGCCCCUUUAAGAUAUUUAGAAUCUUUAAAAAGUUAAAACCAAACUAAACAAAUUAAAAAAUCCCAAAGAAAAGUAACAAAAUUCCUAAACAAACUAAGAGAAAUAAAAUUAUCAUUCUCAAUAUUUAAUUUCCUGAACUAGAUAGAAAAAAAUAAAAUCACCAUAAAGAAAAUAUUUUUCUAAACUAAAUAGAAAAUAAUAAUAAUAAUAACUAAGAAAUUUUAUUUUCAUAAAAAUCCUGGCAUCAACAAUAAUGUUGUUGAAGGUGCAUUUUAAGAUUAAACAAACAAGGGUGUUUUGAGAGAUUAAAAAUAAUUUAAGUGAGGUGUUUGGACUGAGUGAUGUUGAUGAAAGGAUUCAAAAUUGAUUAUUUGAGACAAAAACUAGCCUCACAAUAGGAGGCCAUACCCUCCUUAAAGUAUCUUGAAUGCUUGAUGUUGUUGCUUGAAUUGGUUUUAAUGGUGUAAGAGUAUUUGAUUCUUUUAACUUCUUGACCGGGAUGCUCAUUUUGAGCCUAGUAAAGACUCUUUGACUUUUAUGAAUUCAAUCUUGUAAAAGUAUCUAAGAUUUGUAAAAAUAUCUAAAACAUAAUUCAGGCAUCUCAUAAACCUUUAAAGCUGGGUUUUAUCCUUGGUUUUUUCUACGGAUUUAUCAAUAAAUUUUAGUGAUCUAGUGAUUAGAGUUAUUGAUUCUUGAUACAUGUUGUAUCCUAAAAAAUAUAUUUUUAAUUAACAUCUUUAAGGUUGAGACAACUAAUCUAUUUUGUUUGAUAAUAUUGAGAAGCUUUUGUAAGUUUUCGAAAUGUUUGGUUAUUAAUUUUAAAAAUAAAAAGUCAUCAUCUAUGUAUAUAAUCAUAAAUUUUAAAUACAGAUUAAAGAUGUCAUUUAUAAUGGUCUGAAGUUUUAAAUGAGUAGUUCAAAAGGCAUUACAUCUCAUUUGUAAUGAAUAAAUGUAACAAUGAAUGUUGUUUAGUAAUGAUUUUAUUAUUAUUAUUAAAUUAGACUUGCUAGAAUCCUGACCUUAUGUCAGAUUUUGAAUAUAUUGAAGCAUUUUAAAGUCUCAUCUCUCUUAUCAUCGUGUAUUGGAUAUCUAAUAUAUUGAAGCACUUUGUUGAGAGGCUUGUAAUUGAUGACAUGUCUUAGUGCACACUAUACCAUUAAACAAUUUUAUUGACAGAUUAAUUUCGUCGGUGUAAGGCAUGACAUCUGUCGGUAAAAUUAUUACCGAUGGUCUCAUCGAUGAAAUUCGUCCGUCGGUAUACUAAUCGCCGGUAAUUUCCUAUUCCGUCGCUAAUGUUGUCGGAAUUAAAAAAAAAAACCAACCACCGCCGGUCUUACAAACGGUGACACGCUGCAAAAACAAAAUUUCCCACGAGAACAUUACCGACGGAAUAUAUCGGUCUACAUUUUUAACGGUAAUCAUCAACGGAAUAUCCAUCGGUGAUGGUGGCAUGACGGUAAAUAUUUUAGAACUCUGUAAAAUACCAACAGAAAUAUUCCGUCGGUAAUAGUAAUGGUAAACACUGACGAAAUAUGUCCAUCGGUGAUUAUGGCAUGGGUGGUAAUUGUUUGGCAACUCUCGGUAAAAUACCGACGGCCAGGAUCCGUCGGGAAAGUCGUCGGCAUGUAUUUAUAAUAUAUAUAAAAAAUAAUUUAUUAAUAGUAAAAAAGCUUAAUAAACAAAUAAAAUUGUAUUAAACAUUAAAAAUAUAAAAAUAAUGUUAAAUAUUAUUCAUCCAAAUAUUCAUUACAAAUUUAAUGUGUUUAAAAAACAAAAUUAAACUAGAAUAGCGGUAGAGCUAGAGGAGGAGGAGGAGGAGGAGGAGGAGGAGGAGGAGGAGGAGGAGGAGUUGGUUGUUCCCGGGACCGUACGACCAAAAAGGAGCUGCACAUGUAUCAUCACCCAUCCUUGAUAAUUACUCCAUGACCAUUUGAUGGAGUUGAUCAUAAUUCAUCGAGAGUUGUUCAUAUUGUUGUUUCAAGGCCAUGAACUUCUCAGACUGGGUGCUCGAUGCUGAUGGAGAGCUCCUAACGGUUGAGACACUACGGGUUGAUCGCAAUUUUUCGGUCGUAGUGUUGGAGAGCCUGUGGACUCAAUUUUUUUUGGGACCACUAGACGAUCCCACCUCCAUCCACUAAUCCGAAUCAAAAUCCGGAUAGAUCGAAGGAUCGUCCCCAUAUCUCUCCCUCAACCGUCUAUUAUAGGUCUCCUGAAAUUUUUUAAAAAAUCAUCAUAUUCAAUUCAAGAAAAUAAUAACUUACUAAAUAAAAUGAUUGAACGAACAUACUACGAAGUGCUGAGCACGGUUGUCCACAAACUACUGCACCCCUUUUUGGCGAUCUUGACUCCGCACAUGCAUCUCUACAAACAACUCCAUUGGACGUAGCUUAUAAGGAAAAAAUAGGUUGCAAUUAAGUUAAAUAUAUUUAUAAGCAACGACAAAUUAAUUAAUGAUAUAUCUCAUUAAAAUUAAUCUUACCAUCCGCUUUGCAUGUGUGCUGAACGGGACGGAGCCGUCGGUGUGCAUGGUCACCAAACCAUGAAUUUACCAGUUCCGGUUGUGGGCGCCGAAUUGUGAGCACCAUGAUAACCACUCUAAGGUCACGUGCUCAAUAUAUGUUGUCCAUAUAUCUCUCGAGAUGAAUGGCAGUUUGAAUUCCCGCCAAACCGCUACCUCAUUCCAUCCUUUAAGACCGUUAUCCCUCGCAUGUCUUUUUGAUUUUUUUUAUUGAACCAACCAGUUUAACUCGGUUUUUUUGGUUUGGCUAAGUUUUUUAUUCUGACUUGGCUCAGUUUUUUCGGUUUUAGGCUUAUAAACAUAACCGAACCAAUCAGUUUUUUAAAAUUCUAAUCGGUUUAAUAAGUUUUUUUUACAGUUCGGUUUUUUCGGUUAUUUUUUUUAUGGUUCUCUCGGUUUAAUCAAUUUUUUUAUUUUCUUGCUUACCCUUACAUAUAGGUAGUGAAAGGGAAAUUACGAAUUAUACAGAAUUGAACAAAAAAAUAGAAGGUCAAUUUUUAAAAUAGAAUGCCCACUCCGGCGUGAAAAAUGGAAUAUUAAAGGCAAAUACAUGUUGUUGGCAAAGUUCCAAGCCUGGGGUCCAGUUUCAUGCAAACAUCUAAUGCACGUUAUGAGGCAACAAAUAAAGCAGGAAGAGAAUAGACUAAAAAGAAAUCUAUAAUGUUAAAUCUAUGAUGAAAUUUAUUGGUCUAAGAUGCUAAAAAAUUAACAUGUAUUUAAACUUAUAUAUAUUAUAAUACCUCGAAAAUAUAGAGUUGAUCAAGUUCAGAAUAUGUGGACAUGCUUUUUAUAAAUUCAAAACUAGUAGAGGAAAGACUCAUAUCGUAUAUAGAAAACUUAGAUAUUUUUCAAUUAUACCUAGAAUGCAAUGACAUCAUCAUUCACAAGAUUUUGUGGAUGUUUUAUUAUAUGAUAACAUCAAAAUAUAUUGAAAGAUUAUGUAUAUAUCAUUAUGAAUAGUGGAGAUAUGAUACAAUUAAAUGAGAAUUUUAUAUAACUAGAUAAAAAUAUGAAAUAAAAAGACUAUGUGGAUGAUCUAAUAUAUAUUUUUAUAUACCAUUGAGACAUUCUAGAUCUAAAAAGAGGUCUUGUCGUGUCAAAUUAGACGAACAUCUUAGGACCAUGUCUUUUAUCAAAUUGUUAGAUUUCCCGGAUUAGGUAUCAAAACUGAAUAUUGUUAUUUGGGUUAAUUUUUUUUUUAAUUUUUUCAAGGUUUUUUUUUUUGGAUUUAUUAUUUAAUUUGAUUUAUUAUUUUAAUUUCUUUUGCUUUUUUGUAUUUCUAGUUGUUUUCUAAUAGAUGUAGGGCUUUUUUGAUCUAUUUAUAGGUCUUAUAAACCUUUUAAAAGAUAAACUUAUUAGGUUUAUUUUUAGAUAAAUAAAUCAUAAAUUUGUGUUUCACAUAUAUAAUUUUUUUUGUUCAUUAAAUUUUAUUGUGUUUUAUGUAUUGUUACUAUUCUUAUAGGUCUCUGCUGCAUCAACCAUGCUUUGAGUUGGCUAAUUGUUAUUUUUUAUUUCAUAUUAAGUAUAAACAGGUAGUGAAAGGGAAAUUAAGAAUUAUACAGAAUUGAACAAAAAAAUAAAAGUUCAAUUUUUAAAAUAGUAUGCCCACUCCGGCGUGAAAAAUGGAAUAUUUCACAUCUAAUGCACGUUGUGAGGCAACAAAUAAAGUGGACCAAUUGGAAAUGAAAGAAGUGACCUUUGAACAAAGACUUCCAAGUCGUUGGCAUUAUGCAAUCAAUAAUUCAACAUUAAAAAAUCCCAAGUUGUUGCCUUUGAAAUGUCUAAUGCACGUUAUGAGGCAACAAAUAGAGUGGACCCAUUGGAAAUGCAAGAAGACCUUUGACAGGUCGUCUGUGCUGUGUAGCAGUGACCUCUGAAAGACAUCAAAGACUUCCAAGUCGUUGGCAUUAUGCAAUCAAUAAUUCAUCAUUAAAAAUUUUGGUAACUUUCUGGAAAUGAGACGUGAGAUUUUUCGUCCUUAACAUGUGGACCUUUCUUUAUUGACUUUCAUAAAUUUAGAUAUAACUAGUAAAUUUAAGUUGUUUUAUCUUAUUAAUUUAUACACUCAUUUUAAUUCUGUACCUCCUCGAUUCCUCUGGCAUGCAUCAUCACUCCGUAAUCAUUGUAUAUGGGAACCCCAUUUCCAUCAGCCCAAGAAAUUAUAUCUGCGUAAAGCUCGGCAGUUUGAUUAGCGAUAUAUAUUUGAAAGAUCAUAUCGCCUUCCCGCAAUAUAAUCGGUAUAAACUGACAGAAAUGAAGCCUAAAAAGAUAGGUGAAUGUGGAUUGGACCGGAAACUGCCAAGUCAUAUUGUAUUCCUUAUUUACAGUAGAAUUGGGUCCCAUGGUCCUAGCAGUUCGAUAGAGUACAUCAGGUGCAGCAUAGCGAGUGAGGUUAUUAUACUGAAGUUGAAUAGUGCCAUUAUAUUGAUAAACGCUCGGUCUAGCAUCCGUCAAGUAAUCGUCGUCGUUUAGCCAACUUUGAAUAGUGCCGUUAUUUUGAUGUUGUGGAUGUUUUGUUAUGAAUAUUUGGUGAAGAUAAGAUACAACUAAAUAAGAAUUUUAUACAACUAGAUAAGGAUUGAAACAGAAAAACUAUAUUGAUAAUUUAAUAUAUAUAUUUAUAUACCAAUAAAACAUGUUUAGACCUAAAAAAAAGGUCUUGUCCCUCAAAUUGGAUAAACAUCUUAAAAUUGCAUCUCUUAUCAAAUUAUUAGAUCUCCAGGAAUUAUGCACCAAACCAAAAUAUUGUUGUUUGGGUCAAAUUUAUUUAUUUUUCCUAGUUUUUUUAUUUAUUAUUUAAUUUGGUUCUUUAUUUUAUUUUAUUAUGUUCUUUUGUAUUUCUAGUUGUUUUCUAAUAGAUGUAGGAUUUUUUUUUAAUCUAUUUAUAGGUUUUAUAAACCUCUAAAAAAAUAAACUUCAUUAGUUUUAUUUCCAUAUAAAUAAAUCAUUAAUUUAUAAUUUACAUUGUAAUCUUUUUCGCUCAUUAAAUUUUAUUGUGUUUUUGUAUUGUUACUAUCCAUAUAGGUCUAGGCUGCAUCAACCAUGCUUUGAGUUGUCUAAUUGUUUUUUUUUUUUUUUCAUAUUAAGCAUAAACAAAAAAAUAAAAUAAAAGGUCAAUUUUUAAAAUAGGAUGCCCCAUCCGGAGUGGAAACUGGAAUAUGAAAGGCAAAUACAUGUUGGUGGCAAAGUUCCAAGCCUUUGGGCCCAGUUUCAUGUAAACAUUAGGCAACAAAUAGAGGGGACCAAUUGGAAAUGGAAGAAGACCUUUGACAGGUCGUCUCGUCUGUGCUGUGUAGCAGUGACCUUUGAAAGGCAUCAAACACUUCCAAGUCGUUGGCGUUAUGCAUCAAUAAUUCAACAUUCAAAAAAAAAUCCGCACUUUCCAAGAAAAUUAACUUUCAAGACAUCAUAAUCAGACUUCUGCAUAUUUCCGUGGAAUUUUAUUUUUUAUUUUUUUUAAAAUAUGGAAAUAUAUUGGUAACGUUUUAGAAAUGAGACGCCAGAUAUUUUUCGUCCUUAACAUGUGGACCUUUCUAUAUUGAUUUUCAUAAAUUUAGAUAUAACUAGUAAAUUCACGUUGUUUUAUCUUAUUAAUUUAUACAUUCAUUUAAUUAUUAUUUAAUAUUUGUUUUUCUUAUUUUCUCUACAAUAUCACUUGAUAAGUUGGCAAGGAUAAUGAUGUCCAAUAUAUUUCAGAAAAUAAUACAUGAAAGUCUUACAAUGUUGUUAUCAAUUUACUAUUUUACUAAUACCAUACAUCUACAUGCAAUAAAUAUAUUUUUCAUUUUUUCUUAUUGUGUGGAAUUUUUUUUUUAUAAUACUCAGAAAAAAAUAAUAAUUAAAAGAAUAAGGACCAAACUAGAACAAUUUUAUUUUUGUUUUUAAUGCUUUUUUAACUUAAUUGUUUUCAAUUUUAUCCAUAUAUAUUUUAUUUAAUUUAAUUAUUUAAUCUAGUUUGGUCCUCAUUCUUUUUAUUACUAUUUUUUUUAAAUUUUAUUUCUCAUCAUUUUAUUUCGUUUAAUUUUUGUGUCCAAUUUUGGUACUCAUUCUUUGAUUGCUUUAUAUAUAUACUAAAUAUAUAUAUCAUUUUCUUAAUUUAUUUUAAUUUUCAAUUUAGUCUCUUAUUGUUUUCUUUUAUUUAAUUUUUAUGUCAGAUUUGGUCCUUAUUUUUUAUUGUUAUUUAUUUAUUUCUUAUCUAAUUUUGGAUGAUUAGGGAUUUUGCUUGGUAUUUUUUAGAGUUUGCCUUUUAUGAUUUAAUCCUGAUUUCAUUACUCAAGUCACUAGUUUCGAGGAUUAGCCCGAUUUAAAUUUGAUAUUUUUUAUACCUUUUUUUUAAAAUUGAUUAUUUUUUAAUUUUAUCAUUUAAUUUAGGUUAUUAUGUCUUGAGUUUCAUAAUUUUUUCUACUUUUCUUUUUCUAUAUCAUCCUAUGUCAUGGGUUUGCUGGGUGAACUCAGGGUCAUUCAAGUUUUAAUUUCAUUUAGUCUUGAGUUUCAUGGUUUUUAUUUAAUUCUUUUAUUUUAUCAUUCCACAUUAAAUUAUUGGGUUUUGAGCUUCAUGGUUUUUUCCUCAUUCUUUUAUGUGAGUUUAUCUUGAUCUCAUAUCAUAGGCUUAGAUUUUUUAUUGCGUUUUUAUUUCAUCAUUUGAAAUUACAUUAUUGGGUUUUAAGCUUUGUGAUUUUUUUUAAUUUUUUUUUAUGGGGUUAUCCUGAGUCGCAGGUUUGUCAAGUUAACCCGAGUUGACUUCGAGUUUUUUUUUUAUAAUCCUUUUAUUUUUCUUCGGUCUUUUUUUCUUGGUCCUUUUUAUUUUAAAUAAUUUUUUAUCCCGAUCACAUUUUGCGGGUUGCGAAUUAGUCGAGUGAACCUUGGCUCACUCAAAUUUUUUUACAUUGUUUCUUUUUAAAUUAUUUUUUAUUUCAAUUUAAUUUUUUGAUAUUAGAUUGUUAGGUCAUGAUCUUAGUGAUUUUUUCCACUUUCCUUUAUACGAGGUUGACUCGAGUUACGAGUUAAUCAAGUUAACCAGGGUGGCCUCAUUUAUUUUCUUGAUAUUUUAUUUAUUGAUUUAACUUCAAUCUUUUUUAUUUAAGUCUUUUUUUUAAAAAAAUAUUUUUUUAAUUCUAAUCUCAUAUUGAGGGAAGCGGGUAGUUAAGUGAUUUCGAGUUGACUUGUGUUUUUUUUUGAUGUUUCUAUUUUUAAAUUUUAUUUUCGAGUUUCAUUUUUUAACAUUAGGCUAUUAGGCUUGGAGCAUUAUUUUUUUUUUCGUUUUCCUUUUAUAGAAUUAUAUUAAUUUUUUAUCCUAGAUCAGAGGUUACUCAAAUUAACCUAACUUAACAUAAGUGAUCAAUGCCUUAACAUUUUUUUUUCUGUAACAUGGAUCACCAUACCAGUAAUAUAAAAAAGAGAAAUGGGGACCAAAUUCUUUUAUCUCUCUCUCUCUCUAGAGAGAGAGAGAGAUCAUUGGAGUCUAAAAGUAAAUUUGAUAUCUUCAUGAUGAAUAAAAGUACAAAAUUAGAUUAAUUGAAAUAUUAUUAGUUUAGUUAUAUAAAUAUAAAUAUUACGUAAAGUUUAUGUCAUUUAUCUACACAUAAAGAAAAUCUAAAAUCUUGGUAGAUUAAAAAUCUUUUUUCUCUUGUGAGCAUAAACUCUCUUUUUUUGUUUUUGUUUUAGCUAGAAGUGGUAAAAAAGAGAUAUACAGAGGAUAUGAGAUUGAUCAGCUCUUUUUAAUAUGCAGAGAGAUUCAAACCAUUGACGUAAUCAAGAUUUUACUAAUUAAAGGUUUUGAGCAUUUAGCUAAAUAUAUGAUACAAUAAAAUAAGAAUUUUAUACAACUAGAUAGAGAUUUGAUCUAGACAAACUAUAUAGAUGGCCUAAUAUAUAUUUUUAUUUAUCAAUGAGAUAUGUCUAGGUCUAAAAGAAGGUUAUGUAGUGUCAGAUUAAGUUAACACCUUAAAACUGCAUCUCUUAUGAGACUAUCGGAUUUUCAGAAAACACACCCCUUGCUCUUUGAUCUGGAUCACUUUGGGUGACACUUUCGCGAGUGCUAACAGUGCUCCUUGAAUGCGACUCCGCUCCACUAAACAUGUCAUCGUCAUCAGUGGUCGUGACAUCUUGAUGUGGUGAAAAUGAGCUUUUAUUUUCCAUAUUGAUCCCGUCUACACUGUUGGCAUUUUCCUCAGCAGAUUGUUGAAGCUGCAAUGCAAAUUCAAGGCCCCAAACGACAUCACCCAUUUUAGGGCGUUCAAUUCCUGAAACAUGUAAGCAACUGUUAGCAAUCUCUGCCAACUUAUUUAAAGAGACAGGGGAAACCUCGCCCUUUAAAUGUGGAUCCACGAUCUGAUCAAGGGUUCCUCUUUGGUAACACUUUCUUGCCCAGUCAGCUAAGCUUGCUUGAUCUUUCGGUGAACUUGGAAUCACUGGUGGCCUUGCACAUAGCACCUCAAACAAAACCACACCGAAUGAAUAAACAUCAGAUUUCUCUGUCAGGUGUUGCCUACGGUAGUACUCUGGAUCCACAUAUCCAAUGCUACCUCUAACUACAGUGCUAACAUGGGUUUGGGAUGUACUAGUGGGACCCAAUCUGGACAGCCCAAAAUCUGAAACCUUAGCCACCCAAUUCUCAUCUAACAAUAUGUUUGUUGACUUCACAUCACGGUGAAUGACUGUGUGCUUUGCUCCUGAAUGAAGAUAAUGCAACCCUUUAGCAGCACCGAUGCAUAUUUCUAGCCUUUGCUUCCAUGGAAGAGGAGAGUUCUUUGUUUUGUAUAGAUGUUCUCUAAGAGUGCCUCUUGACAUGUAAUCGUAUACAAGAAUCAUCUCGCCAUGAUCAUCACAGUAUCCAAUCAGCGACACUAGAUGGAGGUGGCGCAGAUUGGAUAACAUCUCAAUCUCUGUCUGGAACUCACGUGUCCCUUGCUUUGAUGAUGAAUCUAGUCGUUUGAUGGCUACUGCACCGUAUUCAAUGUAUCCUUUAUACACAGUACCAAAUCCCCCUGAACCAAUAAUAUUUUGAUCAUCAAAGUGUCCUGUUGCUUCGUUGAUUUCGAAAAAUGUAAACCGUCGGCAAAGAUCAGUAGGGAGUGAUGAAGAGAUUGUAGUCGUGGACCUAGAUGUUUGUGAUAUUAGAGUCCAGGAGGAUUUUUCCUCACUCUUGCUAGGGUCCUUGACUCGCUUCUGCUUGAAAGCAAAGAAAUAAAGAAUAAGAGAGCAAGCAAACACUGCACCUAUGGAACCUCCAACGAUGGCUAUAACCGUAAGUAUUGAUGAUCUUUUGCCCGUUCUUCUGUCUUGUAGACUUGGAUGUUGUUCUGCUGGUGGAGGAGCCACUGUUGGCUCAGGGUUGGAUCCUGCAAGAUUUCCGUCUGUUGUAUUCAGCUUGAAUAUUUCCAAGCCAUUCAAGAUUGCAUCAGCAUAAGUAGGUUUCAGUUCCAUGUUAGGGUGUAGUUGGAGCCACAAGUUCCUGCUUGCUCUGGCUACCUUGAGGGACCAGCACGAUGUAGUCUUUGUAAACUGGAAUGCCGUUGCCACCGCUCAUAUGGAUCACAUCUGCAUCAUGCUCCGCUAUUUGAUUGUUGAUGAAUAUUAAAAAUACCUGUUGAUUUACACUUUUGAACUCCUUUCGAGUCUCACAAAAGUGGAGUCUAAGGAGGUAAUUGAAACCAACAUCAACUGAGAAGAUCCAUGUGAGAUUGUAAUUCAUGUUAAGAAGUGGUUCAGGACCCAUAGAACGCAUAGUACUAUAUACCAUAACAGGUGCGGAGUAAGCUGGCGUUUUGGUUGUGUACUCUAUCUUGACGCCUGAGUGAUAUGGAGUGGUUCCAGCUUUUCCAAAGAGAUACCCUGAAUCUUGAUGCCAUGUCCUGUACAUUCCAGUCUUGUCUCCAGUGCUGCUGAUAUCUUGCCCCCCAACAUUCAGUCGAUAAACUGUCUCAAGCGCAGUUGUGUUACCCAGAUAGAAGGGGGCGGUGCCCACAUAGGUCGGUGGAUUAUCAUCGCCACGAGCAUAGAAGCUGUCUGGCAUGGAAACGAUUUCGAUACCAUUAACGAAGGCAAAAGAUGCUGGAGACGGAUUGAAGGUUAAUUCAAGCUUCUGGUUGUCCCACACGGUGAUGAUGAACUCUUUGGUGAAGGAGUCAACUGGAGGUCUUAUAGCAGAAACUGUAAGAGAGGCACUAAAGUUGUUUAGUAGCUGGUAGGUAUUGGCACUAAGCGAAAAAUAGGAUUUGGAUAUAUCAAGAUUUGAGUAAGAAGAUGGAUAAAAGUAGAGACGCACAAAUUUUGGGCCAGGCAAGACUAGAAAUGUGUAAGUGAAUUUAGAGUGAAAAAUACGGGCUGUCUUGUAUGGGACUUGGUCGACAGAGGGGGUCUUGAGUGGAGGCUUCAAACACAGAUGAGGCUUCUGGGGGAUUAGAGGCAGCAAACUUCGGCUGGGAAUCACCAUCCCAACUGCGACCAUCUGGAGAUGACAAAUUAGAGGAUGCACCACAGUUAAGGAGUAUUAGAUCAGUGGGGCUGU
rnacentral:lncRNA from 1 species